rnacentral:lncRNA from 1 species
UCAGCUUCAUCGCCUUCAAGCCACCGGGCUGCGAGGAGUCCGGCAAGGCCUAAACAGCUCACUCACGACAGGCCAUAUAUAAAGUGCCAUUGCAGUUUUGUCAACUCUGACAUUGCUUUGGGUUUUCCUUCUCCAUUUAUCUUUCUUAUUUGUUCCUAAGAAUAUGUGUAUGUCCAUGUUCAUGUACCAACAUGGCUCGAGAAAGCAUGCUCGUAUGUGAAUGCUAUCGGUGGCUAUGUAUAUGCACGGACGCAUAAUAUUAUACAAUAUGUCAACUAUAUACGUUUUAAUGGUAACCAAUGGAAAAUAUCUCCACCGCCGUGCUUAUUACUUCCUUCAUCCCAAAAUAAUUGUCUUAACCUUGGUAUAACUUUAUACUAGAACUAAUUCAAAGUUAAGACACUUAUUUUGAAACAGAGUGAGUACUUUUUAUUAGUAGUCGACGGUUGGACGUUGUCUUAGUUUGUAUCCCUAAAAUGUAUGGUUGUAAACAUGGCUCCCCAGAAUGUUGGACAACAAUAUUUUAUUAGUUGUAUUUAUAAGUGCAACAUAGGACUAAAUCUCAGGCCAUAGUAUAAUUAAAGGGAAAAUGAGAAAGUUGUAUUGAAUUUGGUGCAAAGAUGAAAUUAUUACAGUGGGCUCUAAUAAUUUUUAGAGUGUGAAGCAAAUGAAGUUAGAGAAAAACAAGAUCUAUCAAAGGAAACCGGUUAUUUCAUUUAUCCGGUAAAAAGUCUAUAAUAGAAGUGUUGUAUAAAUGGUUUGUAUACUCUUGUUGUGUCUCGUAAGGCAUUGGUUGUGGUUUUCUUGCUUAUAAGCCAGAAGCCAAACCAAACAUCAAAACCGCUAAAUGUGCUUUAAUAUUAACAAGCCACCUAGAAAACUAGUGAAGUGGUGAAAUUAAUCUCAGAGAUCGUUUUGUUGCUUUUGAGGCCAGGUAUUCGAGUUUAUUCCCCAAGUUGAUAGUUAUUUAGUCACCAAUUCCUUGGGUAUGAAAAAAAAGAACCCUCCCAAUAUCUCCCAUGCAUGCCCACGUAUCGUGCCCCUAUCGCAUCUCUUGAAUGAUUAAAGUUGCGGCGGUGCUACCUUGUUUGUGGCCAUCGGUAUUCUUCCCUCGUCACCGCCUGAGCACUCGCCCGCCAUCAAUGUCAGACGUCGCCUUCAUCACACCAUCCUUCGUCAUCACCCUUUCGACUUCUUUCGCGAUGUUUCCCUAUCAUGUUAUCAUCCUCUAGACACUCGUAAGGGCUAAGGACACGAGCGCUACUUUGGGGAUCCUACUGCCAUGGGAGAUAUGAUCCUAGUAAUUGUGUGAUCACCUGAUCGUGUUGUAUCCCAUGAAGAUAGCUACCAAAUUACCGGCCCCGGUAUGCCUUUAUAAGGGCUGACAAGAGCCUCGUCGGUGGGACAAGGUCAUGGAGGAGCACAUAUCUGUAACUGUCGGCCCAGUUGAAAGAACAUGCGGUGCGCCCAUGUUUGGUUUUGGUAAUUAAUGACAAUCUCUAUGGACUAAUGGUUUCCUUGAGUUAUAUUUGAAGGAUUUGUCCAUAGGCAUUUCUUGAAGUCCAUGGGUUGGUAUCAAGGAGUUUAUGUGACCACCAAAGCGCUAUUCAAGCAAUUAUCCAAAGAUUGGUCAUGUAGAUGACAUGAUACAAGGUUAAUCAAGACCAAGUCAAAGAGUGAAUCAAGUUGAUCAACACACAAAGCAUAAAAGAUGUUCCAAGUGGGACCAACGGAUCCCAUGGUAUGGUAAGCAUUGUCCAUUACGCUUUGUAUACUAACCCAUGGUCUACAUGAGACUUCUAUGUGUGGUUAGGCAUGUUUCCAAGGGCUUGUGUCAAGAGAAAGAUCUCAUACAACCCAUGGAGGAUGACAUCAAGUGAUGAUCGUCAUUAAGAUUGCCGUGUGCAAAUUCAGUGGAGCAUCACGAAGAGAUCAUGCUUGAAGCUUGCUGCCCAUUGUGGUGACAACGGACUUGUGAAGAUGUGUGAUACGUCUCCAACGUAUCUAUAAUUUUUGAUUGUUCCAUGCUAUUAUAUUAUCUGUUUUGGAUGUUUUAUAUGCAUUAAUAUGUUAUUUUAUAUGAUUUUUCAGACAACCCUAUUAACCUAGAGCCUAGUGCCAGUUUCUGUUUUUUCCUUAUUUUAGAGUUUCGCAGAAAAGGAAUACCAAAUGGAGUCCAAACGGAAUGAAACUUUCACGAUGAUUUUUCUUGGACCAUAAGACAUCCAGAGGACUUGGAGUGCACGUCAGGGCAGCCACGAGGUGGCCACAAGGUCGGAGAGCGCGCCCCCACCCUUGUGGGCCACUCUUGACUCCAUCGACCUAUUUCUUGCGCCUAUAUAUUCUAAAAUAUUCCAAAACCUACCAGGAGAGCCACGAAAACACUUUUCCAUCGCCGUAACCUUCUGUACCCGUCAGAUCCCAUCUAGGGGCCUUUUCUGGCGUCCUGCCGAAGGGGGAUUUGAUCACGGAGAGCUUUUACAUCAACACCAUUGCCUCUCCGAUGAAGCGUGAGUAGUUUGCCAUAGACCUGCGGGUCCAUAGCUAGUAGCUAGAUGGACUCUUCUCUCUCUUUGAUUCUCAAUACCAUGUUAUCCUCGAUGUUCUUGGAGAUCUAUUCGAUGUAAUACUAUCUUUGCUGUAUGUUUGCCGAGAUCCGAUGAAUUGUGGAUUUAUGAUCAGCUUAUCUAUGAAUAUUAUUUGAAUCUUCUCUGAAUUGUUAUAUGCAUGAUUUGAUAUCUUUGCAAGUCUCUUCGAACUAUCGAUUUGGUUUGGCCAACUAGAUUGGGUUUUCUUGCAAUGGGAGAAGUGCUUAGCUUUGGGUUCAAUCUUGUGGUGUCCUUUCCCAAUGACAGUAGGGGCAGCAAGGCGCAUAUUGUAUUGUUGCCAUCGAGGAUAAUAAGAUGGGGUUUUCAUCAUAUUGUCUGAGUUUAUCCCACUACAUCAUGUCAUUUUUCUUAAAGCGUUACUCUGUUCUUAUGAAUUUAAUACUAUAGAUGCAGGCAGGAGUCGGUCGAUGUGUGGAGUAAUAGUAGUAGAUGCAGGCAGGAGUCGGUCUACUUGAUAUGGACGUGAUGCCUAUAUUCAUGAUCAUUGCCUUAGAUAUCGUCAUAACUUUGCGCUUUUCUAUCAAUUUCUCAGCAGUAAUUUGUUUACCCAUUGUAAUAAUUUCUAUCUUGAGAGAAGCCUCUAGUGAAACCUAUGGCCCCCGGGUCUAUUUUCCAUCAUAUAAGUUUCUGAUCUACAAUUUUAGUUUCCUAUUUACUUCCUUUGCAAUCUUUUACUUUCUGUUCCAUAAACCAAAAAUACCAAAAAUAUUACUUUACCGUUUAUCCAUCUCUAUCAGAUCCCACUUUGCAAAUAACCAUGAAGGGAUUGACAACCCCUUUGUCGCGUUGGGUGCAAGUUGGUGUUUGUUUGUGCAGGUAUUCGAUGACUUGUGCGUUGUCUUCUACUGGAUUAAUACCUUGGUUCUUAAAAUUGAGGGAAAUACUUACUCUACUUUGUUGCAUCACCCUUUCCUCUUCAAGGGAAAAACCAACGCAAGCUUAAGAGGUAGCAGGCAGAAUUUCUGGCGCCGUUGUUGGGGAGAUUUAGGCCAAGUCAAGUCAAGAUUUUUCUCCCGUCAACUUGCCAAUUCCUGGCACUGGUUCCGGGGAGAUCUACGCCAAGACAAGACAUACGAAGUACCCAUCAUAAACUCUCAUCCCUUGCAUUACAUUAUUCGCCAUUCGCCUCUCGUUUUCCUCUCCGCCACUUCUAAAAUGAUUUUCGAAAAGAUUUGCCCUUUUCUUCGCCCGUCUUUCGUUCGAUCUUAUGUUCGCUUGUGUUGCCAUGUGCCUUCUAUUUGCUUGCAUCUUCGCUUGCUAAAAAUCUAUCGAUAUGGAUCCUCAUCCACUUGCUAAUAUUUUUAAGAGAUCCAAUUAUGAUGAACCAGUUGCUAGUGAGUUGAGUGCACUAGCUUAUCUUUAUGAGGUUUUGCUUGAAAUUCAUGAAUCUGAAAAUUGGGAUGAAGUGUUGAAAGAAGAAAUUUAUGAAGUGAUUCACGAUAGCUCCUUGAAUGAAAAGCAUGAUUGAAAUGAUGCUAUUAUAAUUUCCAUUACUAUCAAUUGUGUUAAUGAUAUGAAAAACCCUAAGCUUGGGGAUGCUAGUUUUUCCAUGUCCACUAUUUGUUGCAAUGAUCAUGAUUGGGGUGAUUCUUCUUAUAACCUUGAAAAUUUAUUUAAGCCCCAUGAUGAAUAUGAGAUUGAUAAUAAUGUUUUCAAUAAUACUGAAAGUGGGUUUGGAAGAGUGUCAACUCUAGAUCCCACGUAUUUGGAUAAUGUUCAAUCUUAUGAAGUUUUUGAUAAAAGUGGGUUCAGAGAGGGCAUGACUUUAUUUUAUGAUAAUCCCACUAUUUUGGAAUAGUGUCAACUUUGCAUGCAUGUGGAUCAUGAAGAGAAAAUUUUAUGUGAUAGCUAUAUUGUUGAAUUUGAUUAUGAUCCUGCAUGUAAUUAUUAUGAGAGAGUAAAAUAUGGUUGUAGAAAUUCUCAUGUUAUUGAAUUACCUCUCGUUAUGUCGAGAUUGCUAUUAUUUCUUUCUUGUUCCUUGCAUAUGCUAGUUUUUGCUUACAUUGAUAAUUUGUUUGCCUAUAGGAUGCCUAUGCAUAGGAAGUAUGUUAGACUUAGAUGUAUUUUCCACAUGCUAUUUGAUGCUCUCUCCGUGUUUCAAUUGCUAUCUUUCAUGUGAGCAUCAUCGAAAUUAUCAAUGCCUAGCUAAAAGGCUUUAAAGAAAAGCGUUUAUUGGGAGACAACCCAAUAUAUUUCCUUGUUGUUUUGCAACAAAUAAUUCAUCUAGCCACUGGUUAGAUGUGGUUUGGUGUUUUAAUUAGUGUUUGUGCCAAUUAAGACCUUUGGGAUAGCUUACGGUGAUAGUUGAUUUGAUCUUGUUGAAAAACAGAAACUUUUACACUCAGGAAAACAAUUCUCAUUUUUAGCAGAAGAGUGAUAAAAUACUGAUUAUUUUUGCAGAUGAUUAAUAAAUAAAUUUCUUAGUUCUUCCUAAUUUCUCAUAAUUUUUGGAGUUACAGAAGUAUUCGAAAUCUCCAGAUUGCUACAGACUGUUCUGUUUUUAACAUAUUCUAUUUUCUAUAUGUUGUUUGCUUAUUUUGAUGAAUCUAUGGCUAGUAUCGGGUGGUAUGAACCAUGGAAAAAUUAAAAUACAGUAGAUAUUACACCAAUACAAAUAAUCAAUUAGUUCACAACAAUACCAAAAGUGGUGAUUUAUUUUCUUAUACUAACGGAGCUUAUGAGAUUUUUUGUUAAGUUUUGUGUUGUGAAGUUUUUAAGUUUUGGGUAAGGAUUUGAUGGACUAUGGAAUAAGGAGUUGCAAGAGCCUAAGCUUAGGGAUUUUGUAACAUCCCAAAUUUUCAAUUUGGAAUGUUAUACAUUAGAUCAUCAUUGCAUAUCAUAUUUUAUUGCAUUUUGGCUAGAUCCUAAAAAUCCUACGCAACUCAAGGACCCAUGGAGAGAGUUGAGGAUUUCGUUAUUUUCAUAUUUGGGUUUUCUCAAAUUUUGAAAAUAGGAUCAUUUGAUUUGAUUUAUUUUAUCUUCAGUUAUUUCAAUUAUAAAAAUAAGAGAGAGGGAAUAAAAUGGCUUUCCCAAAAUAAAGAAAUAUUGAGGAUUUAAUAAAAAAAAUCAAAUAAGAUUUUAUUUCGGAGUUUUCUCGCUAUUUUAUUUGAAUUAGGAAAAAAAUACGCGUUUUUCAAAAUUGCGUUUAGGCCCCAAAUAAAUGUUCAUCUUGGCCGGCUUGAUUUUAGAAGUCGGGGAAAAUUUAUUUCAGGAUUUUUGGAGUCCGUUUAGUAUUUCUUUUAUUUGUUUUUCUGUGCAAAAUUAUUAUAAAAAAACAAACGAACCGACCUAACCGGGCCGUGUCCAACUAGGACUCUGGCCCGGCCGGCCCUUAUAAGCCGGGGAGGCCACCCCGUAGCCCAGCCCGAACCGCCCCGCCGCCCCAAACCCUAGCGCCGCAGCCCGUCGCCCGCCGCUGCCACCCGUCGUCCCGCCAUCGCCCACCGCCGCCGCCCGUCGUCCCGCCGUCGUCCGUCGCCNNNNNNNNNNNNNNNNNNNNNNNNNNNNNNNNNNNNNNNNNNNNNNNNNNNNNNNNNNNNNNNNNNNNNNNNNNNNNNNNNNNNNNNNNNNNNNNNNNNNNNNNNNNNNNNNNNNNNNNNNNNNNNNNNNNNNNNNNNNNNNNNNNNNNNNNNNNNNNNNNNNNNNNNNNNNNNNNNNNNNNNNNNNNNNNNNNNNNNNNNNNNNNNNNNNNNNNNNNNNNNNNNNNNNNNNNNNNNNNNNNNNNNNNNNNNNNNNNNNNNNNNNNNNNNNNNNNNNNNNNNNNNNNNNNNNNNNNNNNNNNNNNNNNNNNNNNNNNNNNNNNNNNNNNNNNNNNNNNNNNNNNNNNNNNNNNNNNNNNNNNNNNNNNNNNNNNNNNNNNNNNNNNNNNNNNNNNNNNNNNNNNNNNNNNNNNNNNNNNNGCCGACCCCGCCGCCCGACGCCGGAGCCGCCCCGCCGCCACCGUCCUGCCGCGGAGGUUGACCACCGCCGCCGCCGCCGAUUUCCUCGAGAAAAUCGUCCGGUUUUCGUUCGUUUUUUUAAAAAAACUAGAUCUGUUUUUUAUAUAGAUCGGUUUUUUUCCGGUUUUGUUUAUUUAGCCAACGCCCGUUCGUUCGUUUUAACGAACGGUUUUCGUCUUUUAGCCGCAGUUAGCGAACGUUCAUUCGUUAGCCUGUUCGUCCGUUUUUCUUUUUCUCGGAUUUUCCGCGAUUAUUUCUGAUCGUGAUUUUCGAUCUGUUUUUCGUUUUAGUAUAACUUUUCGCUCGUUUAUCGAAAUCAGGAGAUUCAAGCGCCUAGAGUUUCGUAUCGAAACCCUCUUUCAGUUUAACCAACUCAAACAAGUUUUUGCUUCUGUAAAAUUUGACUUAGGUCCAGAUUAGUAAACAAACCCUGUUUCUUUCGCCGUUUGACUUUCGUUGUUUCGUUUGAAUUGUUUCUUUUUGCAAACCGGAGUUCUUAAGUUGAAUUUUCUGGUUAGAUCUCUUAUUUGAGUUUUACCUGUGCAUUAGAUGAGUGCUUAUUGUGUGCUUGUUUGUUUGCGAUAGAGUACCCGGAGUGCGCCGCUUGCUACUUCGAAUCUCUAGGUUUCACGGGUCAUCAGCAAGGCAAGUAACACUUUGAUCAUACCUCUUACUACCAAGUUUUAUUGCAUUAGAUAAAUCCUCAAACAAUUGCAUGGUUAGGAUCUGAAUUAAAUUGUGGGUUUGGGAAGUAGAUGAGGUAGUACCUAUUCACGUGUUUAUUAUCAAACCCCGGGAGUUACUUCUACGUUAUGCUUAUAUUGCUAUGUUAUGCUCGUAGACGUGGUUUGGGUUUGAGUGUAUUCAUGACAGAUGUGAGAUUGUUUAAUUAAUGGUUAACUUAAGGUGGCAACUCUAAUACACAUCUGGGUGGAUUGAGGCACCUGGGUAUUCCAGCGAUUGCCUGUUUUUCUUUAUGGACCGCCACCCAGGCUCAAAGGGAUCAUGAGAUUAUUCAUACUAGAAACUUCCGUGUGCAGCCACAAGCUACUAUGGGCUCUAGCAUAGUUGAUUAAGUCGUGCGAACUCUUACAGUGGUAGACUAGCAGAUGUAGGGGAAAGUAGGUGUAACGGUCUACCCGAUCGUAAGGUGCUAGCGCUUCUGAAAAACUAUGUCUCGAUCAUCCGUUUCUCAAACUCCAUGUAGUGCGAGAAUCCCAACGGAGGAGAUUGAGUCUUGUGGGGAAAAGUGCGCAAACAUCUGCAGAGUGUAUAAACUAAUCAUGGUUAGCCGUGUCCCCGGUUAUGGACAACUUGAGUAUCUAGUACUUGGAUUAUCAUGUGAAUCUCAUCAUGUGACUUUAAUUAAUUUUGUUGGGUUUUAAUGAUGAUGUUUAAUUGGGAUUGAGAGGGUGUCUACGCUCUCAAUGUUUAACAACCACCAUGAUAGUUAAAUAAAUUUAUUCCUUUAAAGUGGGGAAAAACUGGCUUUACGCAAAACUGUAACCAUAGAGCUUUCCACCAGCCAUAUAUGCAUGUAGUAUAGCCUAUUCUGUUCACUACUCUCUAUGUGUUACAUUGCCAGCAUAUUCCAUGUGCUGACCCGUUUUCGGGCUGCAACAUUCAUGUUGCAGACUUUUCAGACGACGAAUAAGGAGCCUUAGGUCGUGGUUCUAUGCUCAGUGAUGCCGUUGGAGUUGAUGGACUCACUUAUCUUCCAAGCCUUCCGCUAUUAUCGUUAUUAGAUGGCCUUACGCCAUAUUAUUUGUAAUAAGUUCUCUUUUGAGACAUUCGAUGUAAUAAGUGUGUGAUUGCUACUCUGUUAUAAAUCCUUCAAGUACUGUGCGUGUCAGCAUUAUUGAUCCAGGGAUGACACUGAAGCACAGAGAUCACACUGUUUGAGGUCUAAUCGCUACAAGAUGGUAUCAGAGCACACGCUAACUGUAGGACACGACCACUAAGAUAAAGACCUAGAUCACUACUCUCUUCUCAUUUCUGACUCCUCAUCUUUUCUACUCUUUUAGGAUGGCAGAUGCAAGGAACAAGUUCACGCAACCGAAUGAAGAUACACCCUUUGGACACCACCUGAAGGAAGUCACUAAGUACCUGAACAUCAGAGUACCAAGCUUCACCGGGACCUACAACGCCACUUUACCCAAGGAGGAGCGCUGGAUGAUUCAAGUUCAAGUUCCUGGAAGGAUGUUCGCGCCAGUCACCGAGCCCAUAGAGUUUUCCUUUGAUGCACCAACCUGGAGUCUAGGAAAGAGCAUGGAUGCCCACAUUACCAUGGGACGUAUUGGAGAAGUUUACCGCAAUGAUCUCAAGGAUACUAUCUAUCAGAUUUGUGGGCGCCGAGAUGAGAAAUGGGAGAUGAUCAGCAUCAGGAAGGAUAGAUCAAUCGCAGCUUUUAUCCAAGAGUUAAAUCAGCACAUUCGACAUCAGGAGAACCAGAUGUGCGCAGGCAUGAUAGAUCUGAAGAAGGCAAUGACAAGAAUCACGGAGCUGGAGGAAGAACUCAAAGCUACACGCGAAGAUUAUAUGGAGGAAAUCAAAGUAUUAGUGGAGAAGAAUGACGACCUGACUAGGAAUCUAGGAGUUUUCAUGGGAGAUCCCGCGCCAGGAGGAGAAGAUGACGAUUCCACUUGCCCAGAGAACUACAUCAUCAUCGACGACACCGACUCAGACCCAGAUGACAGCGAUGAUGACUAUGUUGAUGAAGCUGGAGCGGAUAUCAUGGAGUCUUCAUCGGAGCAGUUUUUCUAGUAGACCACCAUAACAGUAGUAGUAUUCCACCAUAUAUAUAGCAUAGUCCAAGUACUUUUAUAACGAUAGUUCUAGACCGAUUGUAUGCCCUUGUUUGAAUUGAAUGAAGUGAUUUUGUUUGCAUUUGCCUCAUGUGCAUAUGGGUAGUGUUUUCCCUCUAGACCUCAAUCUAUUCUAUAUUCUCAUCUUUUCUAAACCCUCGGAUGCCUCCAAGAUGUGACAAUGGAUUUGCUUUCCCAUCGGAGCUCACUCAGUUGAUCCAGCAGCAGAAUGCAUUGGUGCAGUUGCUAGUCCAGAAUUAGAAUCAGGGGAACAACAACAACAACAACCAACCACACCACCUGUUGAUCACUUAACCCGUUUCCUUAGACUGAAUCCGCCGGUGUUCUCCAGUAGCACCGAGCCGAUAGUGGCAGAUGAUUGGCUCUGCAAGACAGGGAGGGAAUUGACCACAACAGGAUGCACAUAUGCGGAAAAGGUGCGUUUUGCCGCACAUCAGCUUUAAGGACCCGCAUCAUCAUGGUGGGAGAAUUUCACAUCCACUUAUCCUAUCGACACUGUCACAUGGGAUCGGUUUCAGCAGGCUUUCCGUACUGCCCAUGUUUCAGCAGGAGCUAUGGCCAUGAAGAAGCGUGAGUUUCCCAACUUGCACCAAGGAGGACGGACAGUUGGCCAAUAUGUGGAUGACUUUAGUAAGUUAGCACGUUAUGCCCCGGAUGACGUUGCUACGGAUGCAGCUAAGCAGGAGAAAUUUCUGGAAGGACUGAAUGAUGAGUUGAGCAUGCAGUUGAUGGUAGCAACUUUCAACAACUACUAGGAGUUGGUAGAUCGUGCUCUUAUGAUUGAAGGGAAGCAGCAACAGAUUGAGAACCGCAAGAGGAAGUAUGGAUAAGGGAAAUACAAUUCAGGAGCUCAGCAGAAGCCACGUUUUACCCCGAAAUCGGGAGGACAUUUUCAGCAUACCCAUGGAGGAGGGAGUUCGCAUAAUCAUAAUGGCCCCAAGAAUGGUAAUGGGAAUGGGGGAAGCAACGGUCAGAAUCGUACCAACCCAUCAACCCCAGCCAAGAGAGACUUGAGCCAAGUCACUUGUUAUAAGUGUUAGAAGACCGGGCAUUAUGCCAAUGAAUGUCCUGAAGCCCAGAAUGGAAAUGGCAAUGGAAGCUCAGGGAAGAAACCAAACCCUUUCAACAGGGGACAGGUGAACCACAUUAACAUGGAAAAGGUUGAAGCCCAGCCAGAUGCAACAAUAGGUAAGUUUUUGGUUAAGUCAUUUACUGCAAUCGUUCUUUUUGAUACUGGGGCAUCGCAUUCAUACAUAUCAAGGGGAUUUGUGGAUAAGUAUAAACUACCCACCAAGGUUCUUAAAACACCUAUGUUAGUAAGCUCACCAGGAGCGGAGUAUAUGGCCAGUAGAGGAUGUUUUCAAGUGCCAUUGAGUAUAGGUAGACAUGUGUUUCCCUCGGGUUUAAUCAUUAUGGAAUCGCAAGGUUUGGAUGUAAUUCUGGGUAUGGAUUGGCUAUCGAUGUGUGGAGGAAACAUCGAUUGCGCCAAUAAGUCGAUUUUGCUUACCACCCCAGAGGGAAGAAGGAUCAAGUAUGUAUCACGGCAUGUGCCGAAUAGGACUCAAGUAAAUUCCUUAACAGGAGUUGUGUGGGAGGAAGUAUCGGUGGUAAAGGAUUUUACAGAUGUAUUUCCAAAAGAGUUGCCAGGCAUGCCACCGGAUAGAGACAUUGAGUUUUUGAUUGAGCUUUUGCCAGGCACAUGGCCAAUAUCUAAGAGACCAUACAGAAUGCAUGCAAAGGAUUUGGAGGAGAUUAAGAAGCAAAUUAAGGAGUUACUGGAUAAGGGUUAUAUUCGCCCAAGUUCGUCACCUUGGGGAUCAACAGUACUUCUAGUGGAAAAGGAGGAUGGAUCAUUAAGGAUGGUUGUUGAUUAUCGAGGAUUGAAUGAAGUGACGAUCAAGAAUAAGUACCCACUGCCAAUGACUAAUGAUUUGUUUGACCAAUUGCAAGGAGCUAAGGUAUUUUCCAAGAUCGAUUUGCGAUCAGGAUACCACCAGUUGAAGAUUCGAGAGCAGGACAUACCUAAGACAACUUUUACCACAAGGUACAUGCUGUAUGAGUAUACCGUUAUGUCAUUUGGUCUGACUAACGCACCUGCCUAUUUUAUGAACAUGAUGACAAAGUGUUUAUGGAGUUUUUGGAUAAGUUCGUCGUAGUAUUCAUUGAUGAUAUUCUGGUUUACUCGAAGAAUGAAGAAGAACAUAAAGAACAUUUGCUUUUGGUACUUGCUAAGCUCAGAGAACAUCAGUUAUACGCCAAAUUCAGCAAAUGUGAGUUUUGGUUGAAGGAAGCUGGAUUCCUCGGACAUGUUAUAUCCGGACAAGGAAUAGCAGUAGAUCCCACCAAGGUUGUCACUAUGACAAAUUGGGAAGCCCCAACAACAGUUGGAGAGAUCCGGAGUUUUCUUGGACUCGCAGGAUACUACCGGAGAUUCAUUGAAAAUUUCUCGAAGAUUGCAAAACCUAUGACGGAGUUGUUGAAGAAGGAUACCAAGUUCAAAUGGACUGAGGAAUGUGAGGCCAGUUUCCAGUAGUUAAAGAAACGUUUGGUUACCUCGCCAGUGUUGAUUCUGCCAGAUCAGCGCAAGGAUUAUGAGGUAUAUUGCGCCGCUUCACGUUGAGGACUUGGAGCAGUGCUUAUGCAGGAGGGUAGAGUUGUUUCAUAUGCCUCACGACAGCUUAAGCCCCAUGAGUUGAAUUAUGCUACUCAUGACUUGGAGUUAGCAGCCGUAGUGCACGCUUUGAAGACAUGGAGACAUUUUCUCAUCGGAAAUCAUUGUGAGGUGUACACGGAUCACAAGAGUUUGAAGUACAUCUUCACGCAGAAGGAGUUGAAUCUCAAGCAAAGGAGAUGGUUGGAGCUCAUCAAGGAUUAUGAUAUGAGAUUGCAUUAUCAUCCCGGAAAGGCUAACGUAGUAGCUGACGCAUUGAGCCGCAAGAGCCAUGUUAACACACUAAUGACCGGAGUGUUACCAAAAGAAUUAGCCGAGGAUCUUCGUGAGCUAUGUUUGGUGAUAGUUCCGAGAGGCUAUGUAGCAGCAUUGGAGAUUCAGUCUACUCUGAUGGAUAAGAUCAGAGAAGCUCAGAAGACCGACAAGGAAAUUGCCACCAUAAAGGAGAAGGUGAGCAAGGGAAAAGUUAAAGGAUUUCGUGAGGAUGAAUACGAUACCUUAUGGUUUGAGGACCGCGUUUAUGUGCCUAAUGACCGGAGAUCAGGAAGUUAAUUUUGCAAGAGGCCCAUGAUUCGCCGUACUCGAUUCACCCAGGAAACACCAAGAUGUAUUUGGAUUUGAAGGACACUUUCUGGUGGACUAGAAUGAACAAGGAUAUUGCGGCGUAUGUAGCAGUCUGUGAUGUAUGUCAGAGAGUGAAGGCAGAGCAUCAGAAGCCAGCAGGAUUGCUACAGCCAUUGCCGAUACCCGAAUGGAAGUGGGAUAAGCUAGGCAUGGAUUUCAUCACGGGAUUACCCAGGACCCGUUCAGGCUAUGACUCGAUAUUGGUUAUAGUCGAUCGCCUGACGAAGGUAGCUCAUUUCAUCCUAGUGAAGACCACUUACACCAGUGCUAAGUUGGCAAAGAUAUACAUGACCAAGAUUGUAUGUUUGCAUGGAGUUUUGAGGAGCAUUGUAUCAGAUAGAGAAACCCAGUUUACCUCAAAGUUCUGGAAUCAGUUUCACGAAACUUUGGGUACCAGGCUAGACUUCAGUACAACUUUUCAUCCACAGACCGAUGGACAGACCGAGAGAGUCAAUUAGAUUCUGGAGGAUAUGCUAAGAGCUUGUGCGCUAGAUUAUGGAUCUAGUUGGGAUGACAACUUACCAUAUGCGGAGUUCUCUUACAACAAUAGUUAUCAAUCUAGUUUGAAGAUGGCCCCUUUUGAAGCCUUGUACGGAAGAAUGUGCAGAACACCAUUGUCGUGGGAUGAAGUUGGAGACCGCCAGUUAUUUGGACCAGAUCUGAUUAAGGAGUCUGAACAGAAGGUGAAGUUGAUUCGUGAUAGGCUCAAGGUAGCCCAAUCGAGGCAGAAGAGCUAUGCAGAUUCUAAACGCAAGGAGACGGUUUACGAAGCCGGAGAUAGAGUUUAUCUUCGUGUAUCUCCACUUCGAGGAGUUAAGCGCUUUGGAGUUAAGGGAAAGUUAGCGCCACGUUUUGUGGGACCAUACAAAGUUUUGGAACGCAUGGGAGAAGUUGCUUAUAAAUUGGAACUGCCCGAGGGAUUGUCGGCAGUUCAUGACGUGUUGCACGUUUCCCAGUUAAAGAAGUGCCACGCAGAGAUGGCGGAUAUACCAUUGAGAGAUACAGUGCCGCUGGAAGCGAUUCAGUUGGAUAGUGAUUUGACUUAUGAGGAGAAACCAAUCAAGAUUCUCGAGUAUGCCAGCCGAGUCACUCGCAGCAAGGUUAUCAAGUUUUGCAAAGUUCAGUGGAGCCACCAUACCGAGAAUGAAGCCACCUGGGAACGAGAAGAAGAUCUACGGAAAGACCACCCUCACCUAUUUGCUAGCCAACCCGAAUCUCGAGGGCGAGAUUCAUCUUAAGGGGGGUAGGUUUAUAACAUCCCAAAAUUUUAAUUUGGAAUGUUAUACAUUAGAUCAUCAUUGCAUAUCAUAUUUUAUUGCAUUUUGGCUAGAUCCUAGAAAUCCUACGCAACUAAAGGACCCAUGGAGAGAGUUGGGGAUUUCGUUAUUUUCAUAUUUGGGUUUUCUCAAAUUUUGAAAAUAGGAUCAUUUGAUUUUAUUUAUUUUAUCUCAAUUAUUUCAAUUAUAAAAAUAAGAGAGAGGGAAUAAAAUGACUUUCCCAAAAUAAAGAAAUAUUGAGGAUUUAAUAAAAAAUCAAAUAAGAUUUUAUUUCGGAGUUUUCUCGCUAUUUUAUUUGAAUUAGGAAAAAAUACGCGUUUUUCAAAAUUGCAUUUAGGACCCAAAUAAAUGUUCAUCUUGUCCGGCUUGAUUUUAGAAGUCUGGGAAAAUUUAUUUUGGGAUUUUUGGAUUCCGUUUAGUAUUUCUUUUAUUUGUUUUUCUGCGUGAAAUUAUUAUAAAAAAACGAACCGACCUAACCGGGUCGUGUCCGACUAGGACUCUGGCCCGACCGACCCUUAUAAGCCGGGGAGGCCACCCCGUAGCCCAGCCCGAGCCGCCCUGCCACCCCAAACCCUAGCGCCGCUGCNNNNNNNNNNNNNNNNNNNNNNNNNNNNNNNNNNNNNNNNNNNNNNNNNNNNNNNNNNNNNNNNNNNNNNNNNNNNNNNNNNNNNNNNNNNNNNNNNNNNNNNNNNNNNNNNNNNNNNNNNNNNNNNNNNNNNNNNNNNNNNNNNNNNNNNNNNNNNNNNNNNNNNNNNNNNNNNNNNNNNNNNNNNNNNNNNNNNNNNNNNNNNNNNNNNNNNNNNNNNNNNNNNNNNNNNNNNNNNNNNNNNNNNNNNNNNNNNNNNNNNNNNNNNNNNNNNNNNNNNNNNNNNNNNNNNNNNNNNNNNNNNNNNNNNNNNNNNNNNNNNNNNNNNNNNNNNNNNNNNNNNNNNNNNNNNNNNNNNNNNNNNNNNNNNNNNNNNNNNNNNNNNNNNNNNNNNNNNNNNNNNNNNNNNNNNNNNNNNNNNNNNNNNNNNNNNNNNNNNNNNNNNNNNNNNNNNNNNNNNNNNNNNNNNNNNNNNNNNNNNNNNNNNNNNNNNNNNNNNNNNNNNNNNNNNNNNNNNNNNNNNNNNNNNNNNNNNNNNNNNNNNGGAGCCGCUCCGCCGCCGACCCCGCCACCCACCGGAGCCCCCGCCCGACGCUGGAGCUGCCCCACCGCCGUCGUUCCGCUGCCGAGGUUGACCACCGCCGCCGCCGCCGGUUUCCUCGAGAAAACCGUCAGGUUUUCGUUCGUUUUUAAAAAAAACUAGAUUUGUUUUUUAUAUAGAUCGGUUUUUUUGGUUUAGUUUAUUUAGCGAACGCCCGUUCGUUCGUUCGUUCGUUUUAACGAACGGUUUUCGUCUUUUAGCCGCAGUUAGCGAACAUUCGUUCGUUAGCCAGUUUGUCCAUUUUUAUUUUUCUCGCAUUUUCCGCGAUUAUCUCUGAUCGCGAUUUCUGAUUUAUUUUUCGUUUUAGUAUAACUUUUCGCUCGUUUAUCGGAAUCAGGCGAUUCAAGCGCCUAAGUUUCGUCUCGAAACCCUCUUUCCGUUUAACCAACUCAAACAAGUUCUUGCUUCUGUAAAAUUUGACUUAGGUCCAGAUUAAUAAACACAGUCUGUUUCUUUCGCCGUUUGACUUUCGUUGUUUCGUUUGAAUUGUUUCUUUUUGCAAACCGGAGUUCUUAAGUUGAACUUUCUGGUUAGAUCUCUUAUUUGAGUUUUACCUGUGCAUUAGAUGAGUGCUUAUUGUGUGCUUGUUUGUUUGCGAUAGAGUACACGGAGUGCGCCGCUUGCUACUUCAAAUCUCUAGGUUUCACGGAUCAUCAACAAGACAAGUAACACUUUGAUCAUACCUCUUACUACCCAGUUUUAUUGCAUUAGAUAAAUCCUCAAACAAUUGCAUGAUUAGGAUCUGAAUUAAAUUGUGGGUUUGGGAAGUAGAUGAGGUAGUACCUAUUCACCUGUUUAUUAUCAAACCCUGGGAGUUACUUCUACGUUAUGCUUAUAUUCCUAUGCUAUGCUCAUAGACGUGGUUUGGGUUUGAGUGUAUUCAUGACAGAUGUGAGAUUGUUUAAUUAAUGGUUAACUUAAGGUGGCAACUCUAAUACACAUCUGGGUGGAUUGAGGCACCUGGGUAUUCUAGUGAUUGCCUAUUUUUCUUUAUGAACCGCCACCCAGGCUCAAAGGGAUCAUGAGAUUAUUCAUACUAGAAACUUUCGUGUGCAACCACAAGCUACUAUGGGCUCUAGCAUAGUUGAUUAAGUCAUGCGAACUCUUAUAGUGGUAGACUAGCAGAUGUAGAGGAAAGUAGGUGUAAUGGUCUACCCGAUCGUAAGGUGCUAGCGCAUCUGAAAAACUAUGUCUCGGUCAUCCGUUUCUCAAACACCAUGUAGUGCAAGAAUCCCAACGGAGGAGAUCGAGUCUUGUGGGGAAAAGUGCGCAAACCUCUGCAGAGUGUAUAAACUAAUCAUGGUUAGCCGUGUCCCUGGUUAUGGACAACUUGAGUAUAUAGUACUUGGAUUAUCAUGUGAAUCUCAUCAUGUGACUUUAAUUAAUUUUGUUUGGUUUUAAUGAUGAUGUUUAAUUGGGAUUGAGAGGGUGUCUACGCUCUAAAUGUUUAACAACCACCAUGAUAGUUAAUUAAAAUUUAUUCCUUUGCAGUAGGGAAAAACUGGCUUUACGUAAAACUAUAACCAUGGAGCUUUCCACCAGCCAUAUAUGCAUGUAGUAUAGCCUAUUCUGUUCACUACUCUCUAUGUGUUACAUUGCCAGCAUAUUCCAUGUGCUUACCCGUUUUCGGGCUACAACGUUCAUGUUGCAGACUUUUCAGACGACGAAUAAGGAGCCAUAGGUCGUGGUUCUAUACUCAGUGAUGCCGUUGGAGUUGAUGGACUCACUUAUCUUCCAAGCCUUCCGCUGUUAUCGUUAUUAGAUGGCCUUAAGCCACAUUAUUUGUAAUAAGUUCUCUUUUGAGACAUUCGAUGUAAUAAGUGUGUGAUUGCUACUCUGUUAUAAAUCAUUCAAGUAUUGUGCGUGUCAGCAUUACUGAUCCAGGGAUGACACUGAAGCACAGAGAUCAGACUGUUUGAGGUCUGGUCGCUACAGAUUUCCAAGGCACCCCAAGGUAAUAUUCAAGGAUAACCAAGAACCAAAGUUUGGGGAUGCCCCGGAAGGCAUCCGCUCUGUCGUCUUCGUCUAUGGGUAACUUUACUUGAGGCUAUAUUUUUAUUCACUACAUGAUAUGUGUUUUGCUUAGAGCGUCUUGUAUGAUUUGAGUUCUUUCUUUUUAGUUUGCCACACUCAUCCUUGCUGUACACACCUUUUGAGAGAGACACGCAUGAUUCGUGAUUUAUUAGAAUACUCUAUGUGCUUCACUUAUAUCUUUUGAGCUAGGCAAAUUUUGCUCUAGUGCUUCACUCAUAUCUUUUUAGAGCACGGCGGUGUUUUUAUUUUAUAGAAAUUGAUGAACCCUCGUACUUCACUUAUAUUAUUUUGAGAGUCUUUAAACAACAUGGUAAUUUGCUUUGGUUAUAAAAUUAGUCCUAAUAUGAUAGGCAUCCAAGAGGGAUAUAAUAAAACUUUCAUAUAAAGUGCAUUAAAUACUAUGAGAAGUUUGAUUCCAUAUGAUUGUUUUGAGAUAUGAAGAUGGUGAUAUUAGAGUCAUGCUAGUGAGUAGUUGUGAAUUUGAGAGAUACUUGUGUUAAGGUUUGUGAGUCCCGUAGAAUGCAGGUAUGGUGAACCGUUAUGUAACGAAGUUGGAGCAUGAGAUAUUUUUUGAUUGUCUUCCUUAUGAGUGGCGGUCUGGGAUGAGCGAUGGUCUUUCUCUACCAAUCUAUCCCCCUAGGAGUAUGCGUGUAGUACUUUGUUUCGAUGACUAAUAGAUUUUUGCAACAAGUGAGUUCUUUAUGACUAGUGUUGAGUCCAUGGAUUAUACGCACUCUCACCCUUCUGCCAUUGCUAGCCUCUCUUGUACCGCGCAACUUUUGUCGGUACCAUAAACCAAACAUAUACCUUCCUCAAAAUAGCCACCAUACCUACCUAUUAUGGCAUUUCCAUAGCCAUUUCGAGAUAUAUUGCCAUGCAACUUUCCACCAUUCUGUUUAUUAUGACACGCAUCAUCAUUGUCAUGUAGUUGACACCGUAUUUGUGGAAAAGCCACCGUUCAUCAUUUUAUACAUGUCACUCUUGACUCAUUGCACAUCCCGGUACACCACCGAAGGUUUUCAUAUAGAGUCAUAUCUUGUUCUAUAUCGAGUUGUAAUUUUUGAGUUGUAACUAAAUAGAAGUAUGAUGAUAUUCCUUUUUAGAACAUUGUCCCGUGUGAGGAAAUAAAAGAAAGAAAGAAAAAAGAGGAGAAAAAGAAAAGAGAGAGAGAGAGAGAGAGAGAGAGAGAGAGAAAUGAGAGAAAAAGAGAGAAGGGGCAAUGUUACUAUCCUUUUCCAUACUUGUGCUUCAAAGUAGCACCUUGAUCUUCAUGAUAGAGAGUCUCCUAUGUUGUCACUUCCAUAUAGUAGUGGGAAUUUUCAUUAUAGAACUUGGCUUGUAUAUUCCAACGAUAGGCUUCCUCAAAUGCCCUAGGUCUUCAUGAGAAAGCAAGUUGGAUGCACACCCACUUAGUUUUCUUUUUGAGAUUUCAUAAACUUAUAGCUCUAGUGCAUCCAUUGCAUGGCAAUCCCUACUCACUCACAUUGAUAUCUAUUAAUGGGCAUAUCCAUAGCCCGUUGAUACGCCUAGUUGAUGUGAGACUAUCUCCCUCUUUUUGUCUUCUCCACAACCACCUUCUAUUCCACCUAUAGUGCUAUGUCCACGGCUCACGAUCAUGUAUUGCGUGAAAGUUGAAAAGGUUUGAGAACAUUAAAAGUAUGAAACAAUUGCUUGGCUUAUCAUCGGGGUUGUGCAUGAUUUGAAUAUUUUAUGUGAUGAAGAUGGAGCAUAGCCACACUAUAUGAUUUUGUAGGGAUGAGCUUUCUUUGGCCAUGUUAUUUUGAGAAGACAUAAUUAUUUUGUUAGUAUGCUUGAAGUAUUAUUGUUUUUAUGACAAUAUUAAUUUUUUUUGAGUCAUACGGAUCUGAACAUUCAUGCCACAAUAGAGAAAAUUACAUGGAUAAAUAUGUUAGGUAGCAUUCCACAUCAAAAAUUCUAUUUUUAUUAUUUACCUACUCGAGGACGAGCGGGAAUUAAGCUUGGGGAUGCUUGAUACGUCUCCAACCUAUCUAUAAUUUUUAUUGUUCCAUGCUAUUAUAUUAUCUGUUUUGGAUGUUUUAUAUGCAUCAAUAUGCUAUUUUAUAUUAUUUUUGGGACUAACCUAUUAACCUAGAGCCCAGUGCCAGUUCCCGUUUUUUCCUUGUUUUAGAGUUUCGCAGAAAAGGAAUACCAAACGGAGUCCAAACGGAAUGAAAAUUCUGCGACGAUUUUUCUUGGACUAGAAGACAUCCAGAGGACUUGGAGUGCACGUGAAGGAAGCCACGAGGCAGCCACAAGGUCGGAGGGAGCGCCCCCACCCUAGUGGGCCCCUCGUGACUCCACCGACCUAUUUCUUCCACCUAUAUAUUCUCAAAUAUUCCAAAACCUACCAGGAGAGCCAUGAAAGCACUUUUUCAUUGCCGCAACCUUCUGUUCGUGUGAGAUCCCAUCUAGGGCCUUUUCCAGCGUCCUGCCGAAGGGGGAUUUGAUCACGGAGGGCUUCUACAUCAACACCAUUGCCUCUCCGAUGAAGCGUGAGUAGUUUACCACAGACCUACGGGUUCAUAGCUAGUAGCUAGAUGGCUUCUUCUCUCUCUUUGAUUCUCAAUACCAUGUUCUCCCCGAUGUUCUUGGAGAUCUAUUCGAUGUAAUACUCUCUUUGCGGUGUGUUUGUCGAGAUCUGGUGAAUUGUGGAUUUAUGAUCAGCUUAUCUAUGAAUAUUAUUUGAAUCUCCUCUGAAUUCUUAUAUGCAUGAUUUGAUAUCUUUGCAAGUCUCUUCGAACUAUUUGGUUUGGCCAACUAGAUUGGUUUUUUUGCAAUGGGAGAAGUGCUUAGCUUUGGGUUCAAUCUUGCGGUGUCCUUUCCCAAUGACAGUAGGGGCAGCAAGGCAUGUAUUGUAUUGUUGCAAUAGAGGAUAACAAGAUGGGGUUUUCAUCAUAUUGCUUGAGUUUAUUCCGCCACAUCAUGUGAUUUUGCUUAAAGCGUUACUUUGUUCUUAUGAACUUAAGACUCUAGAUGCAUGUAUGAGUCGGUCCAUGUGUGGAGUAAUAGUAGUAGAUGCGGGCAGGAGCCGAUCUACUUGAUACGGACGUGAUGCCUAUAUUCAUGAUCAUUGCCUUACAUAUCGUCAUAACUUUGCGCUUUCCUAUCAAUUGCUCGGCAGUAAUUUGUUUACCCAUCGUAAUAAUUUCUAUCUUGAGAGAAGCCUAUAGUGAAACCUAUGGCCCUCGGGUCUAUUUUCCAUCAUAUAAGUUUCCGAUCUACAAUUUUAGUUUCCUAUUUACUUCCUUUGUAAUCUUUACUUUCUGUUCCAUAAACCAAAAAUAUUACUUUACUCUUUAUCCAUCUUUAUCAGAUCUCACUUUGCAAAUAACCGUGAAGGGAUUGACAACCCCUUUGUCGCGUUCGCUGCAAGUUGGUGUUUGUUUGUGCAGGUAUUCGGUGACUUGUGCGUUGUCUCCUACUGGAUUCAUACCUUGGUUCUGAAAACUGAGGGAAGUACUUAAUCUACUUUGGUGCAUCACCCUUUCCUCUUUAAGAGAAAAACCAACGCAAGCUCAAGAGGUAGCAAUGUGCUGAAGAGUGGCUCACCCAUAGUGGAGUAUGGGGGAGCAAUCUACUUGUCUUCAUCGAGCCAACGCAAUCAAGAAAUGUGGUCCAACUUGAGGAGGUCAAGAUCAUCAUCAUCUAGGUCAAGUGGACUAUGUGCAAGGCAAAGGUUCAUGGUGGUAGUUGAGAGACCGGGUUAUAGGAUUUGCCGUACUAUUAAGGGGGGCUCCCGAGUGAGUAGCUUGAUCGUAUCAUUCGUAGAGAGCUCAAACCAUUGCAUCCUUGCAUCAUCUUUCUUGGUUCUUGUUUGGUUCUUCUCCUUGUGAGAUUUGGAACUUAUGGUCAUCUUCAUGACAAGCUCGAGUUCAUCGAAAACAGAGUUCACAUGCAUCUUCUAUGAGGUUUUAAAUGUUGGUUUUUUGCAUGUUCUUCAUUCAUAGAGGUUUCACAUAUGUAUAUCAUUGGCAUUUUUAUACUGCCUCUUCUCGCUAUUUGGAUAGUAGUCAUCGUCAUCUGUCGAACAAGCUUGAGUUUGCUCUGUUCGAAGCCCGUAUGGAGAAGUUAUGGCAGUUCUAGUUUUCCUACUUCCAUCUGUUUGCUUGGGCUAUUUUCAAGCUCACUAGCGGUAGUACUGCUUGCGUGGUACUUCUGCGAUCCAUUACCGCGGGGACCACCGCUUGUGUUCAGGCUUCUGGACUUGUUUUCGCUUCGACGACAGUUGGGCACGGUAGUACCGCACGUGCCCAGCGAUAGUACUGUUCCCGCGAUACUUCCGCGAUCGACUACCACUGCUACUUCCGCCUAUUUUAUUGCCACUGGACUCGUCUUUCUCUCCGCAGUUGUAGAGCGACUAUAAGGGACGAUAGUACUACUUCUCCCCUGUAUACUGCAACCUCAGCGAUAGUACCACCACGGCGAGCGGUAGUACCGCUCUUGCGACACCGACGACGACUAUAAUGCCUGGCUCGCUCGCAUCACCAAGCACAUCAAUGUUGCCGGCGUCGCCCUGGCGCCAUCUCGCUCCUUGCCGCCUCCGCCAUUGCGUGACGCGUGGGGGUGGCAAGACGCACCUCCUCCACCUGCUCCGCGCAACGAUGGCGUGCCACACCACCGUCUGGAGCGCUCGCCUGAGCCCUCCCACGGCUCCUCCCGGCUGGGUGGCGACAACCCGAGCUGCCAGAUCAUCCAGCGUGCGCGCCCUGACGCACAAGUGCUCAUCGAGAGCCAACGCGAGCACCAAAACCACACCAUCCAGGAGGUCGUGGCCGUCGGGCGCCAGAACCACACUGCCCUUGCAGGCGGCGGCGUCUCCACCGUCGGGGGCUGCAUGGCUUUCACACGCGAGCUCCAUCGCGUGGUGUGGCCCUCAAAGUUCAAGCCGCACCUGCCUCCCCGCUACGACGGCACCGCCAAAUGCGUGCAGUUCCUGUCGCUCUAUUCCAUGAGCAUCUAGGCCGCCAAGGGGGAUGACAAGGUCCUGGCGAAUUGGUUCCCCAUGGCCCUCAAGGACGCGGCACACACAUGGCUGAUGAGCCUUCCCGAGGGCUCCAUUUCCUCGUGGGAGGACCUGUGCCAGCAGUUCAUUGCCAACUUCAAGCGCAUGUUCGACUGCCCUCUCACACUCAGUAGCCUGCACGCCAUCCAUCAGUGCAUUAACGAGCCCCUUCGCAAGUACAUGCAUCGCUUCAGCCAGGUUCGCAAUAGGAUCCCGUGUGCCUCCAACAUCGCGGUCAUCAUAGCCUUCUCCACAUGGGUCAUGGACGUCAGGAUGCGCGAGAAACCCGUCGUCCGCGACAAACUCGACACCAUGGUUGAGCUCUUCGACCUUGCCGACAAGUACACCAAGGCUAAGGAGGGCCAUUUCUUCACCCAAAACGACCCCGACUAAAAGCACAAAUGCUCCGUUGGUGGUUUUGGUAAUUAAUGUCAAUAUAUCUUUUGUUGGACUAAUAGUUCUAUCUAGAAUAUUUUAGACAAGUUCAACAGUGGCAUGGCAAGGACAAGAGGAUGUUGACCCCUUCAAAAUGCUGAGGACAUGGGUUGGCAAAAGCUCAAGAUUCUACAUUUUUAGUUAAGUGAUCUAAGAUCACAUUGAAUCCAUAGAAAAACCAAUACUAUUAAAAGGGGAUGAGGCUUUGAUAAUGAUCUGUUUACUCAAGUGCUUAGUGAUAUUGCUCCAAAACCCUCAGUCACUUUCUCUAUCCAAAUAUGUCCGAAACCCUACAUUCCAACUCGGUCCCAUCGAAACAUACCUAUUCAGAACCACUGAGUUCAUCUGGGCAUUGCCAUAGCCAAACCCUAACAAAUCGGAUCCACUGAUAUGGAUCUCGGUCUCACCGAGAUGGCCUUGCCAACUCUUUGGUUGCAAUUAUUUCAGUCUUACCGAUUUUUGCAAUCGGUGCCACCGAGAUGUCUUGCCAACCUUUUGUUACUUAUUAUACUUUUUUCGGUCUCACCGAGAUGAUGCAAUCGAUGCCACCGAAGCAAGGUUUUGCUCUACCAUUGCACAUCGGCUCAUCUGAGAUGUUUCCGCUCGGUCACACUGAGACCUCCAACAUCCAUAUCUUUUCCACAGGUCGGUCCCACUGAGAUUUCUGAUAGGUGCCACCGAGUUGAGUCAAAAGUGUGUAACAGUUGGAUUUCGUGUGGAGGCUAUAUAUACCCCUCCACCCCCUCUUACCCAGUGAGAGAGCCAUCAAAAUGUGCCUACACUUCCACUAUUCAUUUUCUAAGAUAGAGCUACCUACUCAUGUGUUGACAUCAAGAGAUUACAUUCCUACCAUUUGAACCUUGAUUUCUAACCUUCCCCAAGUUGCUUUCCACUCAAAUCCCUCUUCUACCAUAGCCAAAUCUGUGAGAGAGAGUUGAGUGUUGGGGAGACUAUCAUUUGAAGCACAAGAGCAAGGAGUUCAUCAUCAUCAUACCAUUUAUUACCUUUUGGAGAGUGGUGUCUCCUAGAUUGGUUAGGUGUCGCUUGGGAGCCUCCGACAUGAUGUGGAGUUGAACCAAGAAGUUUGUAAGGGCAAGGAGAUCACCUACUUGGUGAAGAUCUACCCGAGUGAGGCAAGUCCUUUGUGGAUGAUGGCCAUGGUGGGUUAGACAAGGUUGCUUCUUCGUGGACCCUUCAUGGGUGUAGCCCUCUGUGGACUCGCGCAGCCAUUACUCUUCGUGGGAUGAAGUCUCCAUCAACAUGGACGUACGAUAGCACCACCUAUCGGAACGACACCAAAAAUCUUCGCGUCUCCAUUGCAUUUGCACUUUCCAAUUCCCAUCCCUUUACAUUCUUGCACUUGCAUGCUUUAAUCUUUUUGCUGCCCAUACUCUUGCUAUGCUUGUGUAAAAUGUUGGGAAAUGUAGCAUGCAAUUUCAAAAAAAAUCAUAUGCCCACGCAAGAUCUAUCUAGGAUAUGCAUAGCAUCGGGAGAGGAAGAGUGUGUCCACGUACCCUCGUAGACCGAAAGCGAAAGCGUUUGACAACGUGGUUGAUGUAGUUGAACUUCUUCUCAUACCGACCGAUCAAGCACCGACCGUAUGACACGUCCGAGUUCUGCACACGUUCAGCUCGAUGACGUCCCUCGAACUCUUGAUCCAGCAAAGUGUCGAGGAAGAGUUUCGUCAGCACGACGGCAUGGUGACGGUGAUGGUGAAGCAAUCCGCGUAGGGCUUCGCCUAAGCACUACGUGAAUAUGACCGGAGGCGUAAACUAUGGAGGGGGGCACCGCACACGGCUAACAUAUGUUUGUGUGUCCUCUAGGCGCCCCCCUCCCCACAUAUAUAUUGGUUGGUGUGGGCGGCGGCGUAGGGUGGGGGCAGUGGUGCGGGGCAGCGGCAGCAGCGACGGCGAAUGGCGAUGCGGGGCGGCGGCUCGACUACAGUGGCGGGGCUGCGGGUUUGGUGGAGGGAGAGGGGGCGGUGGCGGCGGCAUAUAAAGGGGGAAAGGGAGGUGGUGGGGUGGCUUGCGGGAGGGGACGGGGUCCCCGUGUCCUGGUCGGACACGGCGGCGGCAGCGGGCGAACUCGAGACUCCAGUCCUGAGCCGGAGGAAGGCGGCGGCGCGCUGGUCCGGCCAAGGAAGAAGUUUUUUUAAUAAAAAUCACCGCAAAAAUAAAAUAAUCCUAAUAAAAUAUAAAAAAAUCUAAAAAAAUUCCAGAAACAAUUUUCACCGUCCAAACCUAAUAUUUAGGACAAGAUGAACAUUUUUCUGGAGUAGAAUGCAAUUUAAUGCAUGUUUUUUCUCUAAUUCAAAUAAAAUAGCAAAUAAAAUACAAAUAAAAAUAAGUUGAUUUUAAAAUUUCUUCUCCAAUAUUUCUCUUCUGUUUGAAGAAGUCAUUUUAUCUUCUCUCAUUUAUUUUUGUUAUUGGAAAUAAUUGGAGAUAAAAUAUUAAAACCAAAUUGAUCCUCUUUUCAAAUUGGAAACUGAAUUCAAAUAUGAAAAUUUGUGAAACCUCCAACUCUCUCCUUGGGUCCUUGAGUUGCUUAAGAUUUCUAGGAUCACAACCAAAUGCAAAUGAAAUAAUAUGAUAUGCAUAUAAUGAUCUAUGCAUAACAUCCAAAUUGAAAAUUGGGAUGUUACAAACCUACCCCCUUAAGAUGAAUCUCGCCCUCGAUAUUCGGUUUGGCUAGAAAAUAGGUGUGGGUGGUCUUUCCGUAGGUCUUCCUCUCGCUCCUAGGUGGCUUCUUCCUCAGUAUGGUGACUCCACUGAACUUUGCAAAACUUGAUAACCUGGUUGCGUGUAACUCAGCUGGCAAACUCGAGAAUCUUGACUUGUUUCUCCUCGUAGGUUAGGUCACUCUCGAACUGAAUUGCUUCCAGGGGCACUGUAUCUCUCAGAGGAAUAUCAACCAUCUCUGCAUGGCACUUCUUCAACUGGGAAACGUGAAACACAUCAUGAACUCCUGACAAACCUUUGGGUAAUUCCAAUUUGUAGGCCAGUUCUCCCAUAUGUUCCAAAACUUGGUAUGGUCCUACAAAUCUUGGGGCUAACUUUCCUUUGACUCCAAAUCGUUUAACUCCUCGAAGUGGUGACACACGAAGAUAUGCUCUAUCUCCGAUUUCGUAGACUACCUCCUUGCAUUUAGUGUCAACAUAACUGUUCUGUCUGGACUGAGAUACCUUCAGUCUAUCACGACUUAACUUAACCUUCUCUCCAUACUCUGGUCCGGUCUCCUACAUCAUCCCACAUCAAUGGUGUCAUGCACCUUCUUCCAUACAAAGAUUCAAAAGGGGUCAUCUUCAAACUGACCUGAUAGCUGUUGUUGUAUGAGAACUCUGUGUAAGGCAAAUUAUCAUCCCAAAUAGAUCCAUAAUCUAGCGCACAAGCUCUCAACAUGUCCUCCAGAAUCUGAUUGACUCUUUUAGUCUGUCCAUCAGUCUAUGGAUGAAAGGCUGUACUGAACUCUAGCCUGGUACCCAAGGUCUGGUGUAACUGAUUCCAAAACUUUGAGGGAAACUUGUUCCUCUAUUUGAUACGAUGGUCCUCUGAACUCCAUGUAGACAUAUGAUCCUGGUCAUAUAUAUCUUGGCCAACUUCGCACUCGUAUAAGUGGUUUUCACGGGUAUAAAGUGGGCCACUUUGGUCAAGCGAUCAACUACUACCCAGAUGGAGUCAUAUCCUGAUCGGGUCCUGGGUAAUCCGGUGAUAAAGUCCAUGCCAAGUUUAUGCCACUUCCAUUCAGGUAUCGGCAUAGGCUAUAAUAAUCCGGCUGGCUUCUGGUGUUCUGCCUUAACUCUCUAACAUACAUCACAUACUGCUACAUACUCGGCAAUAUCCUUCUUCAUACCUGUCCACUAGAAACGUUCCUUCAAAUCCAAAUACAUCUUGGUGUUUCCUGGGUGAAUCGAGUAUGGAGAAUCAUGAGCCUCCUGAAGUAUUAACUUCCUGAUCUCUCGGUCAUUGGGCACAUAGAUUCGGUCCUCAAACCAUAAAGUCUCGUGCUCAUCUUCACGAAAUCCUUUGGCCUUUCCUUUGCUCAUCUUUUCCUUUAUUUCAGCAAUCUCCUUAUCAGUCUUCUGGGCUUCUCGAAUCUUUCCCAAUAAUGUGGACUGAACCUCCAAUGCUGCUACAAAACCUCUCGGAACUAUCUCCAAACAAAGUUCCCUGAGAUCUUUAGCUAACUCCUGUGGUAAUCCUCCAGUUAAGAGAGUAUUAACAGAACUCUUGCGGCUCAAGGCGUCUGCUACUACACUGGCCUUUCCCGGAUGAUAAUGCAGCUUCAUAUCAUAAUCCUUUAUGAGCUCCAACCAUCUCCUCUGCCUGAGAUUCAACUCCUUCUGCGUGAAAAUAUACUUCAGACUCUUAUGAUUCAUGUAUACAUCACAACGGUUUCCAAUAAGAAAAUGUCUCCAUGUCUUGAGCGCAUGCACUACGACUGCUAACUCCAAAUCAUGUGUGGCAUAAUUCAACUCAUGAGGUCGAAGAUGACGUGAGGCAUAUGAAACAACUCUUCCAUCUUGCAUAAGUACACCUCCAAGUUCCAGGCGAGAAGUGUCACAAUACACUUGGAAAUCCUUGCGUAUAUCCGGAAGAAUUAGCACUGGGUUGUAACUAAAUGUUUCUUCAACUCCUAAAAACUGUCCUCACAUUCUUAGGUCCAUUUGAACUUGGUGUCCUGCUUCAACAACUCUGUCAUGGGCUUCGCAAUCUUGGAAACAUUCUCAAUGAACCUCCUAUAGUAUCCUGCGAGUCCAAGAAAACUGCGGAUCUCUCCAACUGAGGCGGGUGCCAACCACUCAGUGAUAGACUAAACCUUGGUAGGGUCUACAGCUAUACCUUCUCCUGAUAUAACAUGUCCAAGAAAUCCAACUUCUUUCAACCAAAAUUCACACUUGCUGAACUUGGCAUAUAGCUGAUGUUCUUUGAGCUUCUCGAGAACUAAGCGCAAAUGUUCCUUGUGUUCCUCUUCAUUCUUCGAGUACACCAAUAUAUUAUCAAUGAGCACCGCAACAAACUUAUCCAAGAACUCCAUGAACACCUUAUUCAUCAUACUCAUAAAAUAGGCAGGGGCGUUAGUGAAUCCAAAAGACAUGACCGUGUACUCAUAUAGCCCAUACCUUGUGGUAAAAGCUAUCUUGGGUAUAUCCUGUUCUCGGAUCUUUAGCUGGUGGUAUCCUGAUCAAAGAUCGAUCUUGGAGAAUACUUUGACUCCCUAUAGUUGGUCAAACAAAUCAUUGAUCAUUGGUAGUGGGUACUUGUUCUUGAUUGUUACUUCAUUCAAUGCAUGAUAAUCAACAACCAUUCUCAAAGAUCCAUCCUUCUUCUCAAAUAAGAGCACUCGGGCUCCCCACGGUGAUGAACUUGGUUGAAUACAACCUUUCUCCAAUAACUCCUUAAUCUGCUUCUUAAUUUCCUCUAGAUCAUUCACGGGCAUCCGAUAUGGUCUCUUCGAUAUUGGUCCGGUGCCUGGCAACAGCUUUAUCAAAAAUUCUAUGUCUCUAUCUGGUGGCAAGCCUGGUAAUUCCUCUAGAAAAACAUCAGGGUAAUCCAUCAUCAGAGGCACUUCCUCCUGAACAACUCCCAAGAGGGAAUUUACUUGGGUCCUCCUUGGCGCAUGCCUAGAUACAUUCUUGAUCCUUUUCCCCUCAGGGGUGGUGAGUAGUAUCGUCUUACUAGCAUAGUCGAUAUUUCCUCCAUACUUCGGUAACCAAUCCAUGCCUAGUAUUAUAUCCAAUCCUUGUGACUCCAAAAUUAUCAGUUUUGAGGGGAAACAUGGCUACCAAUGGUUAAAGGUAACCGAUCACACCAUCGGCUGGCCAUAUACUCUGCUCCUGGCAAGCUUACUAACAUGGGUGACCUAAGGGCUAAGGUUGGCAACUUAAACUUGUCCACAAAUCCCCUUGAUAUGUAUGAAUGUGAUGCGCCGGUGUCAAAUAAAAUGAGAGCGGUAAAUGACUUAAUCAAAAACUUACCAAUCACUGUGUCAGGCUGCUUUUCAACUUCCUCCACAUUGAUUUGGUUCACCUGACCUCUGGUGAAUGGAUUGGGCUUCUUUCCAGAGCUUCCAUUUUAGUUGCCAUUCUUCAACUCAGAACAAUCAUUGGCGUAGUGUCCAGUCUUCCCGCAUUUGUAAUAGGUGACAUGACUUAGGUCCUUCUUAGCGGGUGUUGCUGGGUUCGAACGGUUCUGGCUACUUCUUCCUCCAUUCCCAUUUCCAUUCUUAGGGCCACGUGGUUAUGUGAACUUCCUCCAUUAUGAGUAUGGCCUCCAUGAUUAUGAUGGGUAUGUCCUCCCGAGUUUGGGGUAAAGAGAGGCUUCUGCUGAGCUCCAGAAUUGUACUUCCCCUAUCCAUACUUCCUUUUGCGGCUCUCUACCUUCUGAUGCUUGCCUUCAAUCAUAAGAGCUCUGUCUACCAACUCCUGGUAGUUAGUGAAUGUUGCCACCAUCAACUGCAUACUCAGCUCAUCAUUCAACCCUUCCAUAAACCUCUCAUGCUUCGCGGCAUAUGUGGCCACAUCAUCUGGGGCAUAACAUGCUAACUUACUAAACUCAUCCACGUAUUGUGCCACAGUACAAUUUCCCUAGCGUAAGUUGUGAAACUCACGCUUCUUCAUACACAUAGCUCCAGCUGAGACAUGUGCUAUGCGGAAAGCUUGCUGAAACUGAUCCCAAGUGACAUUAGCCACGGGGAAAGUGGCUAUGUACUUCUCCCACCAUGAGGCUGUGGGUCCAUCCAGUUGAUGUGCGUCAAAGCGCACCUUCUCAGCAUCUGUUCAACUUGCGGUGGUCAGCUCCUUUCCAAUCUUGCAGAGCCAGUCACCAGCAACAAUCAGCUCGGUGCUACUAGAGAACACCAGCGGAUUCAACAUUAGAAACCAGGCUAAGUUGUCAACUGGAGGUGGUGGCGGUGGAUUGUUGUUGUUGUUGUUGUUGUUGUUGUUGUUGUUGUUGUUGUUGUUGUUGUUGUUGUUGUUGUUGUUGUUGUUGUUGCUGUUGUUGUUGCUGCUGGUGUUGUUGUUGUUGUUGUUNNNNNNNNNNNNNNNNNNNNNNNNNNNNNNNNNNNNNNNNNNNNNNNNNNNNNNNNNNNNNNNNNNNNNNNNNNNNNNNNNNNNNNNNNNNNNNNNNNNNNNNNNNNNNNNNNNNNNNNNNNNNNNNNNNNNNNNNNNNNNNNNNNNNNNNNNNNNNNNNNNNNNNNNNNNNNNNNNNNNNNNNNNNNNNNNNNNNNNNNNNNNNNNNNNNNNNNNNNNNNNNNNNNNNNUGCUGUUGUUGUUGUUGUUGUUGCUGUUGUUGUUGCUGUUGUUGCUGUUGGUGUUGUUGCUAUUGUUGUUGCUGUUGCUGUUGUUGCUGUUGCUGUUGUUGCUGAUGUUCAUUUCACACCACUCAAUUCAAACAAGAUCAUACAAUCGAUCUAAGCUACCAUUACAAAAUGCUCGGACUAUUACUAUAUACAUGGGGAAAUACUACUAAUAAUAUGGUGAUCGUCUAGAAAUUUUUAUCGGUGGAAGACUCGAUGAUAUCUGCUCCAGCUUCGUCUUCAUAAUCAUCAUCACUAUCAGGGUCGGAGUCGGUGUCGUCGAUUAUGAUGUAGUCUUCAGGAUGGUUGUCCUCCUCAGGUUCGGGAUCUCCCAUGAAUAUUCCUAGCUUUUUCUUCAGGUCUUGAUUCUUCUCCAGUAGUACUGCAAUUUCUUGUUCAUAUAUAUCGCAUGUAGACUUGAGUUCCUCUUCUAGCUCCAUGUUCCUGGUCAUCAAUUUCUUCAUGUCUAUCAUACUGGCGCACAUCUGGUUCUCCUGACGACGAAUGUGUUGGUUUAACUCCUGGAUGUAAGCUGCAAUGGAUUUAUCCCUCCUGGUGAAAAUCAUCUCCCAUUGCUCGUCUCGAAGUCCACAUAUCUGGUAGAUGGUGUCCUUAAGAUCCUUGUGGUAUACCUCGCCUAUGCGUCCAAUGGCGAUGUGGGCGGACAUGUUCUUUCCUAGACUUCAGGUUGGUGCAUCAAAGGAAAACUCUAUGGGCUCAGUAACUGGUGUGAAUGUCUUUCCUGGAACGUGUACUCGAAUCGUCCAGUGCUCUUCUUCAGGUAGAGUGGCGGUGUAGGUCCCCGUGUAGCUUGGUAAUCCGAUUCUCAGGUACCUAGUGACUUCCUUCAAGUGUCGUCCGAAACGGGUGUCGUCAUCCGGUUGAGCAAACUUGUUCCUUGAGUCCGCCAUCUAUAGAGUAGAAAAUGGAGAAGAGUCACAAAUGAGUAGAGAAGAGUAUCAUGUGGCUUAUCCUAGUGGUCGCGUCCUACAGUCGGCGUGUGCUCUGAUACCAUCUGGUAGCGACCCGACCUCAGACGGUCAAGUCUUUGUGCUUAAGUGUCAUCCCUGGAUCGGUAUUGCUGACACACACAGUACUCGAGGAUUUAUAACAGAGUUCAAUCACACCCUUAUUACAUUGAAUGUCUCAAAAGAGAACUUAUUACAAUAAUAUGGCUGAAGGCCAUCUAAAUAAGAUAACAGCGGAAGCUUCGAAGGUAGAAGAGUCCAUCCAACUCCACGGCAAAACUGAAUGCUUGACAACGACCUAACGCACCUUACUCUUCGUCUAAAAACUCUUCAACAUAAUACGUUGCAACCUGUGUAGGUCAGCAUAUGGAAUAUGCUGGCAAGAUAACACUAUAGAGCAAUGAACGAAUAACAACUAUCACUACAUGCAUAUAUGGCUAGUGGAGGCUCUAUGGUUAUCAUUUUGCAUAAAGCUAGUUUUCCCCUACAACAACGGAAUAUGAUUUAUUUAACUAUAAAGUUGGUUGAAAACAUUGAGAAGGUAACCCCAACUCAAUCCCAAUUUAAAAGUUUAAUAACCCGACUAAUUAAGUAGAGUGAUGAGAUCAACAUAAUAAUUCAAGUACCAGAUACUCAGGAUGUCCAUAACCAGGGACACGGCUAACCAUGAUUAGUUUAUACAUUCUGCAGAGGUUUGCGCACUUUUCCCCACAAGACUCGAUCUCCUCCGUUGGAUUUCUCGCACUACAGGGUGUUCGAGAAACGGAUGAUCGAGACACAGUAUUUCAGAAGAGUUAGCUCGUUACGACGGGUAGAUAGUACCACCUAUAUCCCCUACAUCUGCUAGUCUACCACUAUAAGAGGUCACACAACAUACUCAACUAUGCCAGAGCCCAUAAUGGCUUGUGGCUGCACACGGAAGUUUCCAACAUAAAUAACAUAAUGAUCGCUUUAAGCCUGGGUGGCAAACCAUAGGAAAAUCACACGGAUAACCCAGGAUCUCCUUGGACAACACUGGAUUCCCCAGGUGCCCACAAACCAAUCCACCCAGAUGUGUAUUAAAGUAGCCACAUUAAGUUAAACCUUAGUUAACAAUAAUCUCUCACAUCUUUCAUGAAUUCUCUCAAACCAAACCACGUCUACGAGCAUAGCAUAGCAGUAUAAGCAUACAUAGUAAAUACCCAGGGUUUGAAAGUAAGACAAUAUGUACUGCCUCAUCAACUACUUCCUAAUACCCACAUGUUAAUCAAAUCCUACUCAUGCAAUGUUUAAGGGUUGAAACUAAUGCAUAAAAACUGGGUAAUAAAGGGAUAUGAUCAAAGUGUUACUUGCCUUGCUGGCGAUCGGAAAACCCUAGAUAUUCGUAGUAGCAUGCUCUGCACUCUGGAAACUCUAUCAUGAACAAACAAUAGCAUACAUAAGCACUCAAGCAUAAUAUGCAAAAAGUAAAACCCAAAAGAAAAGAUCCAAACUGAAAGUUCAAGUGAAGAGCUUCGAUUUGCAAAAAGAAUCAAUCGAAUUGGAGCUACGAAACUCAAACUAUGAUCAAAAGAAGUUCAAAAACAAUUCUGCUUGAAACUAAAUUUUAAAUUGUCAAAACCAUGUUCAAGUGGAUUAUUUGGAAAGAGGGGAACAAGACGAAGAUUUUGGCGUUGGUUUCACUGGAUUUGGAUAAACGAGCAAAAAGUAGUGAAUGUUUGAAGAUCAGGGACUAAUCUGCGAUAAAAGUAUUUCUGGAUAGGUCCCUGCCCGAAAAAUAAAACUAAAAAGAAAAACCUAAUGAACGAACGUUCGUCAACAGAAACUAACGAACGAACAUGUUCGCUAACAGAGAGAAAUGGCUGAACGUUCGCUAACUAGCGAACCCUAAAAAAAUAAAACCGAUCUAAACGAAUAAACCGAAAAAACCGGGGCGAGUUUUCACGGUUUUUUCCGGUUCGACGGUUUUCGACGGAUAAACGACAGCGGAUCCGGGCGGUGGCGGUUGCGGUGGCUCCAGCGAAUGGCGCGUCGGCGGGGCUGCGGGGUGGGGCGGUGUGGGCGGCAGCGGCGGCGCGGGGNNNNNNNNNNNNNNNNNNNNNNNNNNNNNNNNNNNNNNNNNNNNNNNNNNNNNNNNNNNNNNNNNNNNNNNNNNNNNNNNNNNNNNNNNNNNNNNNNNNNNNNNNNNNNNNNNNNNNNNNNNNNNNNNNNNNNNNNNNNNNNNNNNNNNNNNNNNNNNNNNNNNNNNNNNNNNNNNNNNNNNNNNNNNNNNNNNNNNNNNNNNNNNNNNNNNNNNNNNNNNNNNNNNNNNNNNNNNNNNNNNNNNNNNNNNNNNNNNNNNNNNNNNNNNGGCAGCGGCUCGGCUGCGGCAGCGGGGCUGCGGGUUUGGUGGAGGUAGAGGGGGCGGUGGUGGCGGCAUAUAAAGGGGGGAAAGGGAGGCGGCGGGGUGGUUUGCGGGAGGGGCGGUGUCCCCGUGUCCUGGUCGGACACGGCGACGGCGGCGGGCGAACUCGGGACUCCGGUCCCGAGCCGGAGGAAGGUGGCAGCGCGCUAGGCCGUGGCCCGGCUACAGCUGGGCCGGCCCAGGAAGAAGUUUUUUUACAAAAAAAUCCGCCGUGAAAAUAAAAAAAUCCUAAUAAAAUAUUAAAAAGUUCCAGAAACAAUUUUCACCGUCCAAACCUAAUGUUUUUAGGACAAGAUGAACAUUUUUGUGGACUAAAAUGCAAUUUUCAAAGAUGCAUGUUUUUUCUCUAAUUCAAAUAAAAUAGCAAAUAAAAUACAAAUAAAAAUAAUUUGAUUUUAAAAUUUCUUCUCCAAUGUUUCUCUUCUGUUUGGAGAAGUCAUUUUAUCUUCUCUCAUUUAUUUUUGUUAUUGGAAAUAAUUGGAGAGAAAAUAUUAAAACCAAAUUGAUCCCCUUUUCAAAUUUGAAACUGAAUUCAAAUAUGAAAAUUUGUGAAUCCUCCAACUCUCUCCUUGAGUCCUUGAGUUGCUUAAGAUUUCUAGGAUCACAACCAAAUGCAAAUAAAAAAUGAUAUGCAUAUGAUGAUCUGUGUAUAACAUCCAAAUUGAAAAUUGGGAUGUUACAAGCAAAGUGUCAAAGGAGAGUUUCGUCAGCACGAUGGCAUGGUGAUGGUGAUGGUGAAGCAAUCCACGUACGUAGGGCUUCGCCUAAGCACUACGUGAAUAUGACCGGAGGCGUAAACUGUGGAGGGGGGCGCCGCACACGGCUAACAGAUGUUUGUGUGUCCUCUAGGCGCCCCCUCACUACAUAUAUAGGUUGGAGGGGGGAAGUGGCAGAUAGGGGGCACCCAAGUAGGCCAAAACCUACUUGGAUUCCCACCCUAAUUCGCCCCUUCCUUGUUUUGGCACUAGGAGGAGGAAGGAGGAUGUGCCCCCCUUUCCUUUCUCCCUUGAGAAGGGGAAGGAAAGAGGGGCUAGCCCUCCUCCCUUGCCUUCCCUAGGGCUGGCCAGCCUGGUGGAGGGCCGCACCAGCCCACUAUGGCCUGGUCUGUCCCCUUAGGCCCAUUAAGCCCAUAUAGCUUGUCGAGGGUUGCCCGGAACCCCUUCCGGUGACCCGAUACGUACCCAGUACCCCGGGAACACUUCCAAUGUCCAAAUACUAUCGUCCUAUAUAUGAAUCUUUACCUCUCGACCAUUUCGAGACUCCUCGUCAUGUCUGUGAUAUCAUCCGGGACUCCAAACAACAUUCGUUCACCAAAUCACAUAACUCAUAUAAUACAAAAUCGUCAUCGAAUGUUAUGCAUGCGGACCCUACAGGUUCGAGAACUAUGUAGACAUGACCGAGACACCUCUCCGGUCAAUAACCAAUAGCGGAAUAUGGAUUCUCAUAUUGGUUCCUACAUAUUCUAUGAAGAUCUUUAUCGGUUGUACCGUAAUGAUAACAUACUCCCUCCUUCCAUCCAUAUAGGGCCUAAUGCGUUUUUCAAGAUCGCCUUUGACUAUUGACAAGAUUAAUAGUAUAUGAAAUGUAUAAUGUGAAAAUUAUAUCAUUGGAAGAUCAUACGAAUUUGACAGUAUGCUUUGUGUAAGUUGCAUGUCAUAUAUGCUCUAAUAUUUGGUCAAACUAAGCCUCAAAAAACAUAUUAGGCCCUAUAUAGAUGGAAGGAGGGAGUACGUUAUUCCCUUUGUCAUCGGUAUGUUACUUGCGCGAGAUUCGAUCGUCGGUAUCUUCAUACCUAGUUCAAUCUCGUUACCGGCAAGUCUCUUUACGCGUUCCGUAAUGCAUCAUCCCGCAACUAACUCAUUACUCACAUUGCUUGCAAGGCUUAUAAUGAUGUGCAUUACCGAGAGGGCCCAGAGAUACCUUUCUGAUACUCGGAGUGACAAAUCCUAAUCUCGAUCUAUGCCAACCCAACAAACACCUUCGGGGAUACCUGUAGAGCAUCUUUAUAUUCACCCAGUUACGUUGUGACGUUUGAUAGCACAUAAGAUAUUCCUUCGGUAUCCGGGAGUUGCAUAAUCUCAUAGUCAAAGGAAUAUGUAUUUGACAAGAGGAAAGCAAUAGCAAUAAAACUUAACGAUCAUUAUGCUAAGCUAACGGAUGGGUCUUGUCCAUCACAUCAUUCUCCUAAUGAUGUGAUCCCGUUCAUCAAAUGACAACACAUGUCUAUGGCUAGGAAACUUAACCAUCUUUGAUUAAUGAGCUAGUCUAGUAGAGGCUUACUAGGGACACUGUGUUUUGUCUAUGUAUCCACACAUGCACUACAAAAAAAGACACAUCCGUGACAUUUUGGGCCGAACAAUUUUUUUUUCUGUCAUACAUAUGACACUUCUAUGACGAUAAUUGUGACAAAACCCGAUAUCAUCAUAGAUAUGGUGGGCUCCUACUUCUAUGACAAAAAAUCAUGACAGAAAAUGGGCUUUUAGUCCUGGGCGGGCCGGAGACACAGCUGCAUGACAUUCUUUGGGCCGUCCAUGACGGAAAAAACUGUGGUAGAAGCGAGGGGGAGGAAAAUUUCGGGGAGUUCCCGGUUACGGUGGGAGGUUGGGACCGAGCGAUGCGCGUUUCUCUCGUACACGUACGCGCGUGUGUGCGAGGCGUUGGCUCUAACUGAACCCGAGCGAGGCGUUGGGCUCCAACUGAACCCAAGCGAUUGCAGUGCAGGCUACGUGUUACUGAACCCGAGCGAUCGAUCGAUGGCUAUUAACUGAACCGAUCGAGCGAUUCCUUCGCUACUGCUGCUAACUGAAGCCGAUCGAUGCUGCCUCUGGAUGAACAGUGAGCGUUGCGGGGGGAGGGGGGGUUGGAUGAACAUUUCCCUGUGGGGGUGGAUGAACAGGACCCCGUGGUGUUGCCUCUGGAUGAACAGGACCCCGAUCGAUCGAGCCGGUUGGGGCUAGAUGAACAGGACCCCGUGGAGGGCUGGAUGAACAGGACCACCCCGUGGAGGGCAGGAUGAACAUUAGACGGUGGAGGGCAGGAUGAACAGUAGCCCGUGGAGGGGUGGUUGAACAAGAGCCCGUGGAGAGGGCUGGUUGAAUAGUAGCCGGUGGAGUAGCGCGCGGCGGAGGCUGGAUGAACAGGAGCCCGUGGAUGAACAGUCGCAGGUGGAGGCUGGAGGAGGUCGACGGUGGAUGAACAGUAGCUCAUGGAGGCUGGAGGGAUUCGACGGUGGAGAUGAACAGUAUCCCGUGGAGUCCCGUUUUGCGGUACGCCACACCCCUCCCGAUGAACAGGACCCCCGUUUCGACCGUAGCUCUCCAACACAAGUCUGUUUCGUCCGUUUUGCUGUACGCCACACCCCACCCGAUCAACAAGACCCCCGUUUCGACCGUAGGAGGUCCGUUUCCUCCGUUUUGAGGUAUGCCAGACCCCUCCCGAUGAACAGGAUCCCGUUUCAAACGUGGCCGGUCGAACACAAGGCCGUUUCCUCUUUUCCACGGUACGCCAGGCCUUGUUUCCAUCGCAUGUUCCGUCCAAGCCCUCCCGAUGAACACGACGCAUUUCGUUGCCUCCCCAUGAACACGAUGCAUUCCGUUGCCUCCCCAUGAACAUGAGGCAUUCCGUUGCCUCCCCAUGAACACGACGACGACGCUGUUUCUCUGUUCCGACCCAGCCAUGUACACGAGCCAUGGCCGUACGUAUGCGCGAGUAGGCGUUCAAGACCCCGCCCGUAUGUACACAUACGUGGCCGUAUUUUCUUUCUUGCACCCUGGCCGCCUCUACUACGACACAUGCGCGCCUCUACAUCGACCAGUAUAUAUGUACGUACACAUUCGCGACCAGAAUGACAACGCUACGUAUGCUUCGACCAGGUGGGUCCCGACUGUCAGGCACUUCCUUGCGUGCGAAGAUGUAGCUGGUGGGUCCCAGCAGUCAGGGGGGCGAAAUACGGUAGCCCGUCCGGUGGGUCCCGCUGUCAGGUGGAGGAAUAAUUAUUUUGCACGUAAUAAGGAGGCACUUCCUUGCUGUGGCCGUGGACCCAGCUGUCAGCCUCUCCACGUACAGUCCAUGUCCGAUGGAAGCCGUUCCUUGACCACGUUGACCACGCCGCACCGAGAGCACCAGGGCGGUGGACGGCGGCGAGGCCUAGGAAGGGGACGACGCGGCAGUGGAUGCCCACGCGUAGAGGAGUAUGAGGGUUCACUGGUUCGCUGCGGUGUGAGGCUGCCGUCGCCGCAGAAUAACAGGGGGUGUGGGUGAGUAGAGGGAUGGCCUGGCCAGCGGUGGGAGUAGUUGGGGGCGGUGAGGCCUCCGCCGCAUCGCAGCCGGCCAUGGGAGGCAGGAGCACGAGGCACGACCGACGCUGGUUUGGGUGGCUGGAGCAAGAAGACCAGAGGUUGAAGAAGCACUACGGCCGUUGGAUGGACAUCGUACGGUCACUGGAGCUAGAAUCGUGCAUAUUGACUAAGUUGACAAAGCCCUCCGUCCCCGUCAACUUAGUAGGCCCACAAGUCAGUCUGCCACUAUACUGGGUCCCAGCUAACAAGGGGAGUAUUCAUUUUUUUGUGCGUAAUAAGGAGGCACUUCCUUGCGUGCGAAGAUAUAGCUGGUGGGUCCGAGUUGUCAGUGGCGGUAAUGUUUUUUCGUGAAACACAGAGGCCCUUUCGGUGGGUCCCCGAUGUCAGGUGGAGGAAUCAUUAUUUUGCGCGUAAUACAGAGGCAUUUCCUUGCGUGCGGCCAUGGACCCAGCUGUCGGCCUCUCCACAUAAAGUCCAUUUCAAAUGCAUGUCGGUCGUUGACCACGUUGACCAGGCUGAGCUGAGAGCACCAGGGCGGUGGACGACGGCGAGGCCUAGGAAGGGGAUGACAUGGUGGCAGGGAAGAGUCGGCAGUUGUUUCCUACGCGGAGGGGAGUAUGACUAUACGAGGGUUUACUGGUUCGUCUACCAUCGCUGGAGAAUAACAGCAGGUGUGGGUGAGUAGAGGGAUGGCUAGGCUAGCUAUGGGAGUACAUUUGGGCGGUGAGGCCUAUGCGGCAGCACAGCCGGCCGCGAGGAGGAGGGAGCAGGCAGUCCCGCUGGUGCUUGUUUGAGCGGCUGGAGCAGGAAGAACAGAGAUUGAAGAAGCACGACGGCCUUUGGAUGGACAUCCAACAGUCAGUGCUUGUGCGUCAACCUUUUUUUAGGAAAGCCUCAAAUCUGUGGAAAACAAUAUACAACCCAUCUGCCAUUAUUUCUAAUAAUUUAUAGCUCAUUUGCUAAUUCUUAAGGUUUUUUUGGAGCUCGUAUUCUUUUUGUUAGCAUUACAGCCCAUAUUGUGACAAUUGUUAAAAAAUUAUACGAAAUUUUGCAUAUUUCGGUGCGGUCCAAACUGUUUUUAAUCCCGAAAUUUUGACUCUCAUUCAAACUGAUUUUAAAAAUGAAUGUAUAUCAAUAUAAAAUCCAACAAAUUCUCCACGCAUAAAAAUUAAUGUAAUUUAAAAUCUUGAAAUGAAAAAAAUAUAUUUGAAACUAAUUGCCAGUUUGAUGUGUUUUAAAAAUGUACAACCCAUUUCUCAUUACUGAUGGGCCAUUUUCUCGGCCAGCCGAAUGAAAGCUCUUCCCGUCUUGAAAGAUUUGCAGCCCAACAGGCCUGACAAAGCGACUUACUUGGCAAAUCACAAAAAAACUGGGCUGUGGCCGUGGACCCAGCUGUCAGCCUCUCCACGUAUAGUACUCUUCCGAUGGAAGUCGUUCCUUGACCACGUUGACCACGCCGUGCGGAGAGCACCACGGUGGUGGACGACAGCGAGGCCUAGGAAGGGGACGACGCGGAGCCAGGGAAGACGCGGCAGUGGAAGCCCACGCGGAGAGGACUACGAGGGUUCACUGGUUCGGCUGCGGUGUGAGGCUGCCAUCGCCGCAGGGCCUGGCCAGCGGUGGGAAUAGUAGGGGGCGGUGAGGCCUCUACGGGAGGCAUGACCGACGCAGCUUUGGGCAGCUGGAGCAAGAAGACCCGAGGUUGAAGAAGCACUACGGGCCUUGGAUGGACAUCGUACGGUCACUGGAGCUAGAAUCGUUCAUAUUGACUAAGUUGACAAAGCCCUUCAUCCCCGUCAACUUAGUAGGCCCACAAGUCAGCCACCCAGCAAGGUGGGUCCCAGCUAGUCGGGGGAGUAUUCAUUUUUUUGUGCGUAAUAAGGAGGCACUUUCGGUGGGUCCGAGAUGACAGCGGGGGGAACGCUUUUUCGCGAAAUACGAUAGCCCAUCCGGUGGGUCCCAGCAGUUAGGGGAAACGAUUUUUUUCGCAAAAUACUGGUGGCCCGUCCGGUGGGUCCCCGCUGUCAGGUGGAGGAAUAAUUAUUUUCCGCGUAAUAAGGAGGCACUUCCUUGCGGCUGCCGUGGACCCAGCUGUCAGCCUCUCCAUGUAUAGUACUCUUCCGAUGGAAGUCGGUUGUUGACCACAUUGACCACGCCGCGCCGAGAGCACCACGGCGGUGGACGGCGGCGAGGCCUAGGAAGGGGAUGACACGGAGCCGUGCAAGACGCGGCAGUGGAUGCCCACGCGGAGAGGAGUACGAGCGUUCACUGGUUCGGCUGCGGUGUGAGGCUACCGUCGCCGCAGAAUAACAAGGGGUGUGGGUGAGUGGAGGGAUGGCCUGGCUAGUGGUGGGAGUAGUAUGGGGGCGGUGAGGCCUCCGCGGUAGCACAGCCGGCCACGGGAGACAGGAGCAGGCGGCACGACCGGCGCUGUUUGGGCGGCUGGAGCAAGAGGACCAGAGGUUGAAGAAGCACUAUGGCCAUUGGAUGGAUAUCAUACGAUCACUGGAGUAUUGACUAAGUUGACAAAGCUCUCCGUCCCUAUCAACUUAGUAGGCCCACAAGUCAGCCCAACAACAUGGUGGGUCCCAGCUAGCAGGGGGGUAUUCAUUUUUUUGGGCAUAAUAAGGAGGCACUUCCUUGCGUGCGAAGAUAUAGCUGGUGGGUCUGACCUGUCAGCGGGGGGAACAUUUUUUUCACGAAAUACAGAGGCCCUUCAUGUGGGUCCUAGCUGUCAGGUGGAGGAAUCAUUAUUUUGCGCGUAAUAAGGAGGCAUUUCCUUGCGUGCGCCCGUGGACCCAGCUGUCAGCCUCUCCACGUACAGUCCAGUUCCGAUGGAUGUCGUUCAUUGACCAUGUUGACCAGGCCGCGCCGAGAGCACCAGGGCGGUGGACGACAGCAAGGCCUAGGAACAUAACGACACGGAGCCAGGGAAUACUCGGCAGUUGUUUCCCACACGGAGGAGUACAAGGGUUUGCGGUUCGCCUGCCGUCGCCGGAGAAUAACAGCAGGUGUGGGUGAGUAGAGGGAUGGCUAGGCCAGCGAUGGGAGUACGGUGGGGCCGUGAGGCCUGCGCGGCAGCAUAGCCGGCUGCGGGAGGAGGGAGCAUGCGGUCCCGCCGGCGCUUGUUUGAGCGGCUUGAGCAUGAAGAGCAGGGAUUGAAGAAGCACGACAGCCGUUGGAUGGACAUCCAACAGUCACUGCUCUCGUGUGUUGACUAAGUUGACAGGGCGUUGCGUGUGCGUCAACCUUUUUUUUAUGAAAGCAUAUGCGUCAACCUGUAGUAGGCGCACAAGUCAGCCUCAAAUCUAUGGAAAGCAGCAUACAUCCCAUCUGCCAUUAUUUCUAAUAAUGUACAGUCCAUUUGCUAAUUCGUAAGAAUUUUUUUUGGAGCCCAUCUUCUUUUUGUUAGCAUCACACCCCAUAUUGUGGCCACGGUUAAAAAGUAUAUGGAAUUUUGCUUAUUUCCGUGCGGUCAACUGUUUUUAAUCCAGAAAUAUCGAUUCACAUUCAAUCUAUUUUGAAAAAUAAUUUAUAUAAAUAUAAAAUCCAAAUAAUUGUCCACGCAUAAAAAUCAAUGGAAUUUAAGAUCUUGUAAUGAAAAAAAUUGAAACUAAUUCCCGGUUUGAUGUGUUUUAAAAAUGUACAACCCAUUUCUGGGCAAACCGAAUGAAACUCUGCUCGUCUUGAAAGAUUUGCAGCCCAGCAGGGCCGAUAAAGCAAGUAGGCCUUGUUUGGGUAUUUCUUUUAAAAAAUAGAACUGGGCUAGCCAUUUUUCAGCAAGAAAAAAACACAACUGGGCUCAUGAUGUGGUAAACAUAAAUAAAACCCUGGCUAGAUGGGCCACAGCCCCCGCACAACCCCGUUGUUACCCUGAUCUGUCGCAAAAACUAGUAUAAAUAACAACUGCUUGUUCCUAAAAAAACGCGCGACUUGCUGGGUCCCUCGUGUCAGCCACUCGUAGUGUAAUUUUCUCGUUUAUUGACUAGUUGACAAUGGCGUGAGCCCCAGAUGUCCAACCAUUAGGAUGAACCAUAUUUUUGGGCUUGUACUAUAGAGGCACUUGCUUGCGUACUGCCAUGACGCUGGUGGGUCCCUACUGUCAUCCUCUCCACGUACAGUCAUCUCCUUGUUCCUCUUGGUUGUUGACGACGUUGACAACGCAAGAGGGCGGCGCACCGCGCACGGCGAGCGAACUAAGUCCGCAAGGCGGAGGACGAGGCGAGGCCUCGGAUGGAACGAACAGGAGCCGUUCAAGAUGCGCCGGUCCAGUCGCAGGCGGAGGGGAGUGCGAGGGUUGACUGGUUCGGGCGCGGGUGCGUGUUGGGGCUGACGUUGCCGGAGAAUAAUAGGACGUGUGGGGGAAUAGAGGGAGGGACUGGCCAACGUUGGAGGGUAUGUACGGUAGGGCGGCGGAGGCGCAGCCAGCCAUGGGAGGCGGGAGCAGGCAGAGCCGACGGGGUGGUUUGGUUUGGGCGAUUGGAGGAAGAAGAAGACAAGAGAUAGAAGAUACACGGCAGAUGUUGGAUGUCAAUCCAACGGCUGGUAGGCAGAAUCGUUUGUUGACUGGCUAGUAAGUCGACACCACCUUGCAUAGGCUAUUUCCUUGCGGGUCCCAAAUGUCAGAAUCCAAAUCUGUCACGGUCAUGCAGCCUUUCCUAUGAAAAUUUACAGCCCAUUUGAUAUGCUAGUUCGAAAUAAGUUUGUGGGUGCUGGUGGGGGCUAAUCACUUGGCUUCUGUAAUGCACAGUGAGCUCAAGCAGCCGGCGAGAGUGAUGUUAUUUCCCUUGGUUUAGAUUUGUUACAAUAUUUCACUCUAAAUUAAACGAAUGGCAAGCCAUUUGCCUUGUUUCAAAGAAAAUAUGACAGUCACAGCCGAGUUGAAAAGGGCAGGAACAUCUAACUCCAGCUUACAAACUGUACAAAAGCACGAGGGUUAAUUGUUCAUCAGGUUUACAAAAAAACCAGAUUGAAAAGGGCAACAACAUCUAACUCCAGCACUAUUUUCGGCAGUCACAGUCAAAUGGAUCGGUCAGGUCCAUAGUAUGAACAUCCUGGGUCGUAAAAUUUACUGGAUUAUGACCACAAUAUGUUGUAAAUAGAAGCCCGGCACGUUCAGAAGUUCUUUUGCCCACCUGAAACUCCUUUUUUGCUCUUUGACAUACCCAUCCGUCAAAACCAUGCUGUUGAUAAACUUAAGCCUGAUGGACAAUAGUAACCUCGCAUUCAGCAGGAAGAAUGUGACAAAUCUUGUGUUUGCACGGUUGGCUACAUAUCGUUCUAACGUUAUUGUCUUCAAUCAAAUCUGAUGAGAAGUGAGAAAAUCCCGAUGCUUACGAAUCCACCGAUUGGUUAUAACUUUCUUGCCCUAUCAUGUUGCCUAAAUAGACAUGAAGAUUGAAAACAGUUAAGGUCUAAAAGAAGAGUGUCGAAAGAGAAACAGCUGAACGGUUAAUUCUAGUACACUAUAUGCGGGCUUCCAAUGUGCGUGAAAUUAUCACCUUUAUAUACAACUUCUCCAGACAUGGAAAGCAUUGCAGCAAGCUAAUAAUCUUAUUCAGAUCAAAACUAUUCAUUUGGAUAUAUAAGAUCUUGAUAGAAUCCAGCACCAUUGAUAGGCCAUCCAUGGAGAAACUCUUCAUUGAGCAUAGAACAUAAUAUUAGUACAAAAUGUGUACUCCAAGCUGAUAUAUAAAUUAUGCACAAAAAUUUAAAAUGCAUCUUAUGGUUACAAGUGUAGAGGAUAAUAUAAAGUACCUGAAGAACUGUGGAGCCAAACACCAUAUUGAAAUGAGCACAAAGAUCAUGUAUUACACCCAAGGUCUCCAGUUUAGGCGCAGAGAGGACGGUUAUUUGCAACGGUGAAUAACUAGAAUCAAGGAUCAACCUUUGAAGUGAAGGGGCAUCUUGGAUGAUGAGCUUCCUUCCGUCAAAAGAAAUUCCAAUUCUUACAAGGUUAGGCGACUUUAUUUGGAGACAACCGAUUCUAAAUGUGAAAACAAGCACCAAGCACUCCAGCACAGGGCAACUGGAGUGGAUGAUGUUGUGCAAUGAGGCCUCCGAUAUACGAACCCGCACAAGUGAAAGUUUCUUGAGAAAUGGGAGUCGAAGGUUUAGUACCAGAUUGUCUGGUAGGUAGCACUGCGUAAAGGUGGCGGUUGAUACGUCUCCGUCGUAUCUACUUUUCCAAACACUUUUGCCCUUGUUUUGGACUCUAACUUGUAUGAUUUGAAUGGAACUAACCCGAACUGACGCUGUUUUCAGCAGAAUUGCCAUGGUGUUUGUUUUAUGUGCAGAAAACAAAUAUUCUCGGAAUGACCUGGAACUCCACGGAACAUCUUAGAAAAAAUAAUAAAAAAUCCUUGCCAAAGAUGAAGACCAGGGGGCCCACACCCUUCUAACGAGGGUGGGGGGCACCCCCCCAGGGCGCGCCCCCUACCUCGCGGGCCCCCUGGAUGCCCUCCGACGCCAACUCCAACUCUAUAUAUUUGCUUUCGGAGAGAAAAAAUCAGAGAGAAGAAAUCAUCGUGUUUUACGAUACGGAGCCACCGCCAAGCCCUAAAACCUCUCGGGAGGGCUGAUCUGGAGUCUGUUCGGGGCUCUAAAGAGGGGGAUUCGUCACCGUCUCCAUCAUCAACCAUCCUCCAUCACCAAUUUCAUGAUGCUCACCGCCGUGCGUGAGUAAUUCCAUCGUAGUAUUGCUGGACGGUGAUGGGUUGGAUGAGAUUUAUCAUGCAAUCGAGUUAGUUUUGUUAGGGUUUGAUCCCUAGUAUCCACUAUGUUCUGAGAUUGAUGUUGCUAUGACUUUGCUAUGCUUAAUGCUUGUCACUAGGGCCCGAGUGCCAUGAUUUCAGAUCUGAACCUAUUAUGUUUUUAUGAAUAUAUGUGAGUUCUUGAUCCUAUCUUGCAAGUCUAUAGUCACCUACUAGUUAUGAUCCAGCAACCCCAAAGUGACAAUAAUCGGGACCACUCCCGGUGAUGACCAUAGUUUGAGGAGUUCAUGUAUUCACUAUGUGCUAAUGCUUUGCUCCGGUUCUCUAUUAAAAGGAGGCCAUAAUAUCCCUUAGUUUCCAAUAGGACCCCGCUGCCACGGGAGGGUAGGACAAAAGAUGUCAUGCAAGUUCUUUUCCAUAAGCACGUAUGACUAUAUACAGAAUACAUGACUACAUUACAUUGAUGAAUUGGAGCUAGUUCUGUGUCCCCCUAUGUUAUGACUGUUACAUGAUGAACCGCAUCUGGCAUAAUUAUCCAUCACUGAUCCGGUGCCUACGAGUUUUCCAUAUACUGGUCCUCACUUAUUUACUUUCCCGCUGCUACUGUUACAAUCACUACAAAAUACCAAAAACAUUACUUUUGUUGUCUUUACUUUUGUUGCUGCUACUACCACUAUCAUAUUACUGUGCUACUAAACACUUUGCUGUAGAUACUAAGUUUCCAAGUGUGGUUCAAUUGAAAACUCAGCUGUUAAUACUUGAGAAUAUUCUUUGGCUCCCCUUGUGUCGAAUUAAUAAAUUUGGGUUGAAUACUCUACCCUCGAAAGCUGUUGCGAUCCCCUAUACUUGUGGGUUAUCAAGACCAAUUUCUGGUGCCGUUGCCGGGGAGCAUAACUCUAUUCUUUGAGUCACUUGGGAUUUAUAUCUGCUUAUCACUAUGAAGAACUUGAGAGAUCCAAAAACCAAGAUCUAUCCCUCAACUACGAGGGGAGGUAAGGAACUGCCAUCUAGCUCUGCACUUGAUUCACCUUCUGUUAUGAGUAAGUUUGCGACACCUACACCUGCUUCUGCUAUUCGUUCUGAUAUGUCGCAUGUUAUUGAUGAUGCCACUUCUGCUAUGCAUGAUACUUAUGAUGAAACUGCUUCUAUGCUUGAUACUACUGUGCCCCUUGGUGAAUUUCUUGAUGAACAAAUUGCUAGGGCUAGAGAAAAAGAAAUUAUUGAAUCUGAAUACGUUGAUGAUAGUGAUGCUGAAAAUAUGACUGUUAUUCCUGAGGGUUAUCUUUUUGAUAUGGAAUCUUCUAUCGCUAUUUUAGCUUGCAAAGAUAGAUAUGAGCUUAAGAGGUUAUUAAUUAAAUGGAACAACGAAUCACUUAGACAUAAAAUGAAACCCGACCCUGCUUUUGCUACUUCACCUAUUUGUGUUCCCGAUAAGGAUUAUGAAUUCUCUGUUGAUCCUGAUAUAAUUACUCUGGUUGAAUCUGAUCCGUUUUAUGGCUAUGAAUCUGAAACUAUUGUGGCACAUCUUACUAAGUUAAAUGAUAUAGCCGCCCUGUUUACUAAUGAUGAGAGAUCACGUUACUUUUAUAUACUCAAAAUAUUUCCGUUCUCAUUAAAGGGUGAUGCUAAGAUAUGGUUUAAUUCUCUUGAUUCUGGUUGGGUGCGUAGUCCCCAGGAUAUGAUUUAUUACUUCUCUGCUAAAUAUUUCUCUGCUCAUAAGAAACAAGCUACUUUGAGGGAAAUACACAACUUCGUGCAAAUUAAAGAAGAGAGUCUCCCACAAGCUUGGGGGAGGCUUCUCAAGUUACUUAAUGCUUUGCCUGAUCAUCCUCUUAAGAAACCUGAAAUACUUGAUAUCUUUUAUAAUGGACUAACCGAUGCUUCCAGAGAUUACCUAGAUAAUUGUGCUGGUUCUCUUUUCAGGGAAAGAAGACCGGAUGAAGCUGAAAUUCUAUUGAAUAAUAUGUUGACAAAUGAAAAUAAUUGGGCACCUCCUGAGCCAGCUCUUGAGCCAACUCCUGCUCCAAUUACUGAACCUAUUCCUAAACCAACUCCAAAGAAGAGAGGUGUUCUAUUUCUCAGUCCCGAAGAUAUGCAAGAGGCAAAGAUUGCAAAGAAAUCUAUGAAAGAGAAAGGUAUUAAAGCUGAAGAUGUUAAGAAUUUACCUCCUAUUGAAGAAAUACAUGGUCUUAAUAUACCGCCUGUUGAAGAAACCUAUGAUCUCAAUUCUUUAUUUACUGAAGAACCUCCUGAUCCCGAUAUCCCGACACAGGUAGUAAAGGUAAAUUCUCUCUAUAGAUAUGAUAAAGCUGAAGUCUCUCCUACUAAAAUUGCUAGUCAGUGCUUGGAUGAGUUUGAUAACUUUAUGUUUAAGCAAGACGACUUCAAUGCUUAUUUUGGUAGACAAUUAAAAGAAAAUUCUUAUGUGAUUAGACGCUUGGGUGAUUAUAUGGCUAAUAUUAAAGGUGAACUUAAACUUGUUAGCAAACAUGCUUCUAUGGUUACCACUCAAGUAGAACAAGUACUUAAGGCUCAAAAAGAAGUGCUUGAUGAAAUGAAUAGUAAGAAAAAUGAUUAUGCUAUUAGAGUGGCUACUAGAACUGGUAGAAUGACUCAGGAACCUUUGUAUCCUGAAGGCCACCCUAAGAGAAUCGAGCAAGAUUCUCAAAGAAAUAAUAUUGAUGUUCCUAGUUCUUCUAAAAAGAAGAAGAAGAAAAAUGAUAGAACUAUGCAAACUUCUAGUGAACCUAUUGCUGAACCACCUGAUAAUCCAAAUGAUAUUUCUAUGUCUGAUGCUGAAACACAAUCUGGUAAUGAACAUGAACCUAAUGAAAAUAUUAAUGAUGAUGUUCAUGAUGAUGCUCAACCUAGUAAUGACAAUGAUGUAGAAGUUGAACCUUGGGAACAUGGUAAAGAAAGGGAACCGUGGGUUCAGAAACCCAUGCCUUUUCCUACGAAACCAUCCAAGAAAAAGGAUGAUGAGGAUUUUGAGCACUUUGCUGAAAUGAUUAGGCCUAUCUUUUUGCGUAUGAGAUUAACUGAUGUGCUCAAAACAAAUCCUUAUGCUAAAUAUAUGAAGGAUAUCAUUACUAAUAAAAGAAAGAUACCGGAAGCUGAAAUAUCCACCAUGCUUGCUAACUAUACUUUUAAGGGUGGAAUACCAAAGAAACUUGGAGACCCCGGAGUACCUACUAUACCUUGCUCCAUUAAAAGAAAUUAUAUUAAAACUGCUUUAUGUGAUCUUGGAGCCGGUGUUAGUGUUAUGCCUCUCUCUUUAUAUCGUAGACUCACUACAAGAAAUAUGUCAACUUGUGACCUUCUGUGAGUGACCCUGGAAGAAUUGGUCAUAGAUCUAUGACCAUUUCAGACCAAUUGGUCAAAAGUUGUUCGGGGGCUCCAAAACCUAAACUAUAACGACCAUUUUGGUCAGAAAGGUCGUAAUUUCCUUACACAAAAUGGUCAUAAAGCAGAUAGCACUGGUCUGCUGCCUUAUUUCUAGCUGAUCAUGACCAAUAUAGAUGGACAUAACCUUGUAAAUUGUGGUGGGUUGCUAUGACUAGGCGCCACCUCAUCAGUUUUGCCUAUGUGUCAUGUCCAUGUGGCAGUUUUUGCCCUAGGUUGUGAAGCAACCUAUAUUUCUGUCAUUCCCAAAAUUCCCAAAAAAUCUCAUAAAUUCUUUGGGUCAUAUCUUCAUCAAAUAUGUAAAAAUCCUUCCUUGCCUAGUUCAAAACUAAUUCAACAAUAUUCAUUUUCCAAUUCUGUUCACGACAGAAGUUUAUGAAGGAAGUGCUAUUUAUAUAUUCUUGAUUGCCCUCGGAAUUUUUGGGCACUCUUUCCUAUCCAAAUCAUUACCACAUGACAAAAUUCAGCUCCACUUGCCUAGCAAAUCUUCCUCGGCAAAUUUCCAAAGUUUUGUCCACCUAGAAGCAUUGUGAAGGAAGUACCUUUUUUAUAUAUCGAAAUGACAUGAAAUUUAUACAGUUCCUUCAUAUGCCCAAAUUAUCAACCUCCUCCAAAUUGCAGCUCAGUCAAAUCAUCUAUGUGAGCCCAGGUUCAAUUUAUAUUUUAUGGCCAAAUUGGCACGUUGCAAAGCAAGUGUUAUCUAGACCCCUCCUAUUAUCCUCAAACUUUUCGGGCACUCUUCCAUACCCAAAUCAUUGCCACAUGAUAAUAUUCAGCUCAAUUUUCGUAGUAAAUCUUUCUCAAGAAAUUUUCAAAGUUUCUACCUCGAGAGAAGCUUUGUGAAGUAAGUACUAGCUAGGCUUACCCAAAUGACCUGAAAAUUUACCAGCGCAUGACCAUACCUAUGUAACUUACCUACACCAAUUUUUAGCUCAUUUCAUUCAUCCAAUCUCUCUCACUAGUUUUCCCAAGUUUUUGUCCAUAGAAGAGAAUUGUGAAGGAAGUACCACUUUGGCAUUUCCAAAUAGUAUCCAUUUUCUACAGUGGUUUCCUAUGCCCAAAUAACCAUCCUCCACCUAAUGCCAACUCAAUCCGUUCAUUAUUUUGAGCCGAGCUUCAACAUUCGUAGUUAUGUCCAGUGUGGUAGUUCGCAAAGCAAGUACCACCUAGGCUCCUCCUUUUGAGCUGAAAAUUUGUGAAGACGGUCUUCUUAGUAACUGGUCAUCCUCAGCCAAAACUCACGCCCAUUAGCCAUGUAGAUUUCCCGUACCGCUAAUCAAACACUUGGUUGUUAAUUCAUGCUUGAGCAUCGAUCGGUCUCCUCGUGAGAAUCUUAUGUUGUAAUUUUCUUCCUAGCACCAACCUGGGGAGUGCCCAACCCAUUAGACAUGCCUAGGCCACCCAGAACGCAUGGCAACACCACGGUCACGCGGUGACCACGCGGCGGGCAUGCGAGUUUACGCGCUCUAGAGUUGGGGCCCUCGGCCACUGCCCAAACCUCUACGUAUCGCCACCAAACCAUGUAUUUAUGAUUAAAUAGGUCCUUAUGUAACUAGAAAUGAUUUUUGGAAAAAAUAAAUAGCAAACUAUGAGGCAGCUGCAGUUCAAAUUUGACCCGCUUCCUACUGAAUUGGUGGAAAUUUGUCUUUUUCAUGAGAGGUGGAUCAAAAAAAUUUACACCCAACCAUUUUUUCAAUUGUGCAUUAAAUAUGGCCUAGUAUUUUAUAAAAAUGAUUUGGUCCAAUUUUGCAACAAUUAUUUGGUAGUUCCUUCACAAAAACCUCCUUUUGGGCACUUGAAAAAUGGAAAAUGUUUUUUCGUCCAACAAAAAUGAAAACUUCCUUAGGCAACAUUGUUUGCCAUUCCAAUAUGCACCCUUGUGCACAAUAUGAGAUCAUUUGAACAAACUAUGCCAUGAAUGUGGCCAUAAGAUUGAUCAUUUGGCUUGAAAGCCAUUGACCUUCACACAUGAUAGCUCAUUUCUGAGAACACUUUUUUAAAAUAAUUAUUGUAUUACAAGUUUAUUAUUUUUCCCGGAAACUCAAUCACAUAUAAUGAGACAAUGCGAAGGUUUUACAAUUUUUUGAUUUUUUUUGAAUUUUUUAUGCCCGUUUCAAAAUGUGGUCAAAACGACAGGCUUGACCGUUCCUAGGUAGCGGUUGAAUCUUAGAAUUUUUUUGCUGUUUCUCUGAUUAAAUAGAUACUUAUGUACCUAUAAAUGAAUUUUGGAAAAAAUAAAGAGCAAACUACAAGGUAGCUACAGUUCAAAUUUGACCCGCUUCCAGCUGAAUCAGCGGGAAUUUGUCUUUUUCACCAGAGGUGGAUAAAAACUUUUUACAACCAACCAUUUUGUUAAUUGUGCAUUAAAUAUGGCCUAGUAUUUUAGAAAAAUGAUUUGGUCCAAUUUUGCAACAAAUAUUUGGGAGGUCCUUCACAAAAAAAACU